rnacentral:lncRNA from 1 species
UAACAGAAACAUAUAAGAAAAAGAAUAUUUUUUUCCUUUGUCCCUAAACAGUUACAAUUUCUGACACUUCACGUUUAUAUUACUUGAUCACCAAGCAACUACCAUACACUCUCAUUCUCUUUCUCUCUCUACAUCCUUUUCCAUCACCAUAAAAAGCCUCUCAAAUCCUCUCUCUCACGCUUUUUCUUCCUUCUCCUAUUACUAUUAAACCCCUUAAACCCCCCAAUUCCCUUCUUUCUCUCUCUCUCUUGCACGCAUUUCGAGGUAAGUUUUUCACCGGAAAAAUGGUGGAAGGCGGUAAAGGAACGGUGUUUCCGGUGAUAUUUUACGAUGGAGAAAGUGAGGUUAACGUUGGGAAUAUUAAAAUUCAGCCGACGUUAGAAUUCAAGCCUUUUCAGUUGAUGAUCAGUCAGAGGAUCGGAGUUUCACCUAAUCAGAUUUCGAUUUAUCUAUGUGAUCGGAGAAGCGGUGGUGGCUCAAAGUACGAGGAUCGGAGGAGGAUUCCUGUUACAGGUAAAGCGAAUUUCGCUCUGAUUUCACGUGAGAAGAGUUGUUUUUUUCUCGUGGUGUUGAAACGGUCUAGAAAAGCAAGGAAUCGGAAGGUAAAGCCUAAAGACGGCGUUGAAUUAGGCGAGUUUUUGAAGGAAAAUGUGUCAAAUCUGGUUCUGUUACGGCGAAAUCAGCCGGAGAUGAAUUUGUCGUAUGAUCGAAUUACGGAGACGGAGUUGGCGAGUAUGAAUGAACGUGUCCAGAAUUUGCAGCUACAAAGGGAGAAUUUCGACUUACUGAUGCAAAAAUCGAAGCCGAAUCCUGUACAUUUGGAUGGUCCGAAUUCGUUUCCGAGGAUCCAAGAUGCUUUUCCGAUGAAGAAGAAAUCACUUUGCUAUGAAUGUGCGAGUUCCGACGCCGGCGAAACGUCGGCUUUUCAUCACUGUAACAAUGAUGCUGUAAUUGUUGGUUCGUUCAGGAGCCGGUCUGGACCGGUGAACCGGCCGGCAAAACAAUUUCUGUGAACCGGUGAAAGUGGUUCGGGUUUCUUGUGUACAGAGUAUACUACAGAAGUACAAUCAGCUGCUGCUAUGGUACAUGGUAAGUAUCAAAAUAGAGCUAAACAGAUUUUCUAAAGUAGAAAUUACUGAUGUGAAAAAUGUUGGUUACAUAAAUGGGUUAGGGUAAAUACAUUUUGACUGGUGGAUAGUGGAGUUUGGCCCUGUGAUUUUUCGUUUAUCCCUCCUAGGGACCUUGAAAGGGUCCAAUUUUUUUGCUUUUUUGGUGAUUCUGAUUCACUAAGAAUUGUAAGUGGAGGUUGAUCAGCGGUCCUGUAUAUGAUCCAUUUUGGUACUCUGUAAGAAGUAAGUGGAAAAAAAAAUGUUUGAAUUAAACGUGGAGGUUGAUUACCAAUCGAGCGAAUUCUUUUGUCGCUCUAUGAUCUUCUUUUCACCUAUUUUGGUAUUUUAAGAUUGAUUUUUUUUUCUAAUUAAACGUGAAGGUUGAUUAUAUAUCGGUUAAGUAUUUCUUUUGAUUACCAUCUUUUCACUCAUUUUGAUACUUUGAAAUUAAAAAAAAAAAAAAAAAGAUUCUUGAGUUAAAUGUGAAAGCUGAUUAUCCGUCGAAUAUUUUUUUAAUCGUAUUAUGAUAUUUUCACCCAUUUUUGGUACUUUGAAAUUGAAAAUGGAUGCUUGAAAAACUUGGAGGUUGAUUAUUAAUCGAGCACACUCUUUUGUAGCGCUGUGAUCUUCUUUUGAUCCAUUUUGGUACUUUGAAAUUGAAAAACAGAUGCUUCAAUUAAGGGAUUGUUUGGUAGAGUGUAUUACCAAAAAUAAUGUAUGUAUUAAUUAAUGUGUAUUAUGAAUAUGUUGUUUGGUAUAAUUUUUAGUCAAUGUAUAACUAAAAGCAUUAAUGUGUGUAUUACUAAUACCAUCUAUUUGCUAUGUAUUAGUAAUGCAAAGUCUUUAAUACAUGUAUUAAUUUAUUAAAUGACCUCAAUACCCCUCAAUUUUCCUCUCAAAAUAUUUCACCAUUCAUUUUUCUGCCAUUUUAAUUUGCAAUAAUGAAUCUUUUCAAAACAUUUACAAAUUUUUUUCCCACCAUUUAAUCUACAAUAAUGAAUAAUUAAUUUAAAUAAUUGUAACAUGUUUUUGCUUUGCUUCAACGGUCUUUAAAAAGAUUAAAAAAAUUGAGACUAUUUCUUAAUUUUGUGUCUUAUAUUUUAUUUUUAUUUCGACUAUAUUAAUCCAUUGGCAUAAUAUUUCAUGCGCAAAGACGAAAGUCUUGCAAUUAAUCCGAAAACUCUAUAUACCAUUUCAACAAUACUAUUCAUAUUUGAGAUGACAAAAAAAAUUUGUUACAAAAAAGUGUACAAAAUCAAAGAAGAGUAUUUUUGUAAAUAAAUAUUUCUUUUAUAAAAAUUAUGUAAGAUGUAUUAUUUCUUAUAUAUCAAAUCAAACAAUGUAUAAGAAAUAAUACAUGCAUAAUUAAUACAAACAUAAGUAAUACAAGUAUUACUAAUGCAAGUAUUACUAAUACACUAUAUUUUACAUUUAUCUUAUACACUCUAUCUAACGACCCCAAAAUGUAAUGGUUGACAAAUCAAUCUUGUCAUACCAUGAUUUUUUUCAUCCAUUUUGAUACUUUGGAAUUGAAAUUUUUUUUUCUUCAAUUAAACGCGAAACUUGAUUAUCCAUGGAGUAUUUUUUUCCUGUCAUACUAUGAUAUUUUCACCCAUUUUGAUACUCUUUCCGUCCCAUUUAUGUGUCAUUAUCACUUUUUCUAUCUAUCUCAAAAAUUAUAUCACCUAUGUAAAUAUUAAAGCAACUUUAAAGAGGCAAAGGAAAUACAAUUGAAAAAAGAUGCGUCGAAAACUUGGAUGUUCAUUGCUAGUCGGGGAAAAGGCAUCGUUUAAUCCACACCUAAAUUAUAUUAGUAACCUAUUACAUACCUUAACUAUAAAAUAGUGAUACUUUUUACACCUUGUCAGGCAUUGCACCACUUACAUAUGAUGUGGUGUUUUACAUGCGCUACCACAUCAGCGCCACGUCAGCAUCAUUCGAAAAAAAUAAUAAAUUUAUUAUUUUCAUAAAUUCUUAUUUUUUCUUUCUUCUUUUUAAUUUAAAUCCUUUUUCUUUCUUUCUUUCUUUCUUAAAAGUGAAUUUUAAAAAAUAUCAUCUCCUUCGAUCCUUCUUCUUUUAGUUAAAAUCUGGGCAAAACCCAUUUACUGAUAAACAAACUGAUUCGAUCAGAUCAAAGCAAUCCAAAUCCGACAAAUAAAAUCACUUCAAUCCUUUCGCUAUUUCACAAUCUUUGUCAUUUUUAGUGAAAUUCUAGAAACCCACAACUCAAUUCGAUAAAAUUCGAGCAAAUCAUAACCCAGACCGUAAAAUGCAAACACAAAACUCAAUUCUUGAAAAUUCAAGAAACCCACAACUCAGUUCAAUAAAAUUCAACUAAUUUACAAUUCAAUUCGUAAAUGUAAGAAACUCAUAACUCAACUUCAUAAAAUUCGAUAAACUUAAAAUUCAAUUUGCAAAAUUCGAGAAACCCACAACACAAUUCAGUAAAAUGCAAGAAAUACAGAAUCGAACUCAUGAAAUUCAAGAUACCCACAUUUCAAUUUUGUAAAAUUCGAACAACCCACUAUCCAACUCGUGAAAUUCAAGAUACCCAUAAUCGAAUUUUAUAAAAUUUAAAAAACCACAAUCUAAUUUAAAUUAAAAUUGAAUAAAUUUCAUCUAAAUAAUACCCAGAUUUACAGAGAAAUAUCAAUUAUAAAUUGAAAUGUGGGUUAUGGGUUCGAAUCCAACUCGUAUUUUUUUUGGGUAACUGAUGGGAUUAUAUUAAGUAAAGGUAUGUCUUAAAGACUUAAUACAAAACAAAAGCCAUUACUGCUCCAAGCAAAAACUGUUUAAACGCUUCUAGUUGGGGUCAAAAUUGAGUAACCUACAUUUGGUUCUAACAAAAUCAAAAGGACAUAACAUUAACAACAAAUUUCUUUCCACUUAUAAUAAUAAAGAAAAAAAUAAAAUAAAAGGAUAAGUGAAUUUGUGAAUUCAUUGAUGAAUUGAUGGAGGUUGACAGAAGGUAAGGAAUAAGACAUGGAGUUGAGGAAGAAAUGAGAAAAGAAGAAAGAAGUUAGAGAUGAAGAGUAAAAAAGUAAAAAGAAAAACAAAUUAAAAGGUAAAGAAAGAAAAUAAAAAUUAUAUAAAUAUAAAUUAAAAACUAAUUAAAUAUAAUUGAUUGAUAAAAUGCAAUUGAAUAAUGAUACGUGUGCGUUUUAAUCUGCUUUUAAUUUCCCUUUCUGCUUUUUACGCGCCUAAAGCGAGUGUAAACAACGCGCCUUAGAAUGAGUGUCGCGGGGAGGUAAUAGCUUCACUUUUUUAUAGUUUAGAUGUGCAAUAGGUCACUAGUAUAGUUUAGGUGUGACUUAGAUUUUUUGGGUAUAGUUUAGGGUGGAAAUGAUGCCUUUUCCUGCUAGUCGAGCACAUUCUUUUGUCGCGCUGUGGAGUUCUUUUAACCCUAUUUUGAUAUUUUGGAUUUGAAAAAAAGAUGCUUGAACAUUCUUUAUUUUCCUUGCCCAUUUACAUUGGUGAGCAUAAAUUCAUUUUUAUUUUUACUUGUAAAGAUAAAGAAGUAUUUAGAUAGAUCAUCAACUCAAAUAGUGUACUUUAGUUAAGAUGACGACGAAAGAACAAGAUUUGAAUUCAAUAAAUAAAUUAGUAAGAUGUCUAAUUAGAAAUCUCGGAUUUAAAUUCUUGAAUUCAAAAUGUUAAUAACUCAUAAGGAGCAUUUUCAUCCUUCAAUAAGUUUUAUCCAAUUUGAAUUAAGAUUAGUUGGACUAAUAAAUUUUCCAAGUUCUUAAUAAUGAACGCCUCCACUCUUAAAUGAGUUAUACGCAGCCCCAAAUUGAAUUAGUUGGGUCAAUAAAUCUUUUAUGUUAAAAUCAUGAAAAAUGAGAACUCCAUUAGGUAGUAAGCAUUUUGAAUUGAGAAAUUCUCUUAAGAAUGUUUCAUGCUUAAAUAAAUUUUAAAUUUUAUAUGAUGCGAAUUUAAAUUCGUAAAAUCACAAAGUUCUGAAUAACAUAUGGUUAAACAAAAAAAAAAAAAUUCUAUUAUCAUUUAUAAUUUGAAGUCUCAUUUACUUACUCUUCCUGAAUUUGAAUUGAAUCGGUAUAACUAUAUAGUCGCUGGAUGAAUAAUUAUAAAUACAUAAUAUAAGACUAAACAAAAAAACGAGAAAACUAAUAGUAGUAUUAUACUAUGUAUCAUCAAUUCACUUUAAACUAAUAUUGUACCAUGUUUAAUCAAUUCACUGUUUUUUCCCUUCAUAAUUUGUACUAAAAUUACUUUCAAUUGGAGUGUUAAACAGAUUCAAAUGGAAGUAAAGGACAAAUAACAUUUCACCGACAUGAACUUUCAAACGAAGCUUCUUCAGUUUUUCUUUUGCAGCUUAUGACUUUGAUAAUAAAUACGGACAGAGAUUAUUCAACUCUUUGAUAAUUAAACUUUAUUUAAAAUUACACAAAAAGUACUACUUACUAGUAUCAUUUAAUAUAACUAAUGAUUAAAAUUACUCCGUUCGUUUCGAAAUAAGUGAAUUAUUGAGGUAUUAAUUGGUGUUUCAAAAUAAGUGAAUCAUUGAAUUUUUUUCCAAAUUUACCCUUAUGAUUUGACAACUAAUUAACUUUUGAAAAGAUAUUAUAAGGUCAAUUUUUUCUUUUUUUUGGGGAUAAAAAUGAAAAAUUGUAUUAAAUUUAUGUCUUUAAUAUUUUUUUCUUAAUUUGUAUAUCAAAAUCUAACAAUUCAUUUAUUAUAAAACGGAGGGAGUACUAAUUAUUUGACUCACCCAAUAGUAAUGCUUCACAUAAAAUACAAUAGAGGAAAUAAUAUAAGAUGGCAUGCAAAGCAUUAUGUCUAUCAUUUUACCGUUUCGUUUCUAAAUUUUUAAUUAUAUUUAGAUACUGAUACACUGGACUAAGUAAUGCAGACAUUUGAACUAAUAAAAUACGUGUGGAACUAUUUUUAAAUCUUUCCUCCAACCAAAGUAAAUUAUAUAAAUCAGCAUAUCCAAUUCCAAAUAUAGUCUUGAAAUGGACCCAUUGGCGAAGAUCAUUGGUAAAACUGGAAAUAAAAGUUGUUAUACACUCUUAAAUACACUUAUUUCUAAUCUUACUUAAAUCUGUUUCUCAAUGUCCUUAUUUCUUAAAAAUAUUGAAAUUAAAAGUUGGUGGAUCUUACGUUAAAAAUACUCCAAAUCAAUAAAAAGAAACAACGGAAGAGCAAAAAAUAACAUAUACUAACAAAAAUAUAACACACAAUAACAAAUAGUUAUAUACAAUAAAACAAUAGGAUAGUAACAUAAAUCGAAUAAAAAAAAAUUAUAAGAGUAAAGCACAAUUUCAACUAAUAAUCUUCUAUCUUAAAUCGUAUCUUCCACAACCUCCUAUUUAAAACCGCAUCAUAUAUUGAAUCUUUUUCAGUAAACGCCUAAUAAAAAAGUUGAAGAGAAAUUUCCAUAAUUUUGUAAAGUUCGUGGGAGUUUAAUUUAAUAUUUUUCUUUUUGGUUUUCCAUUCGGUGUCUGGUACCCACAUUGGAGCCCGACUAAUUCGGUCCAUUCGGGGAUAGCGCUCCCAACAAAGUUUUCUUCAUAUCCAGGAUCGAGGUUAAAGAUAAACUAGCCUCAUCCGCUGCACCACAAUCGAUGUUGGUGGUGGAGUCUAAUUCAAUUAUUAAUAAGUCGGGGCAAUUACACGCAUAUCACAAAAAUAAAAAAAAUACAAAAAAAAAUAUACAGUUCCCUUUACGUCUCUCUGUAAAUAAAAAUAAAAUCUCCCAUACACAUAACACACACACACCAUUUUCAUUUCCAUUUUUCUCCAUUUUUGAAGCUCAACAAAAUCAUCUCUAACAAUGGCGGCUUAUGCAGUAGUAAUGGAAAACCUAAAAGAAAGAUCACAAUUUAUGAACGAAUCAAUGCAAAAAAGCCAAACAAUUACUGAUAAUAUGAUCUCCAUUCUUGGUUCCUUUGAUCAUCGUCUCUCUGCCCUCGAAACCGCAAUGCGUCCUACUCAGGUACGUAAAUGUGUAAUCAAUGAAAAUGUAUAUAAUGUGUGUUCCAUAGGUUGAUUAAUUUUUUAAUUUUUUUUUGGUUGUGUUUUGUAAAAUUUUUUUUUUUUGAAAAAGAUAAGGACACAUUCGAUUAGGAAAGCACAUGAGAAUAUUGACAAGACGUUGAAGGUAGCUGAGGUGAUAUUAGGUCAAUUCGAUCUUGCACGCCAGGUUGGUCUUAUUUGGGUUAAUUUAAAUUUUACUUAUUCUGUUACACUUUGCUUUUGGUAAGCUGGUUAUUUGUAUUUUGCUGUGUUGCACUAUGAGGAUAUGCACAUUAUGUAUGUACACAAUGUAUACACAAGGGCUUCAAAACCAUGUGUGGAUAUUCACUCACGGUUCAAAAUAUGAUUCCGUAAACAGCCGCCUUAGGCGGAGAGUGGUUCAGUGCACACCCUUCACCGAAAAAUAAUGUAAUUUACAGAGGUUAAAUGUUAGCUAUUAUGAGUGUGUUUAAAUUUAUUCAUACUUCUUCUGUUACACUUUUUUUUUUUUUUUUAAUAACUGUGGUGUCUGGGCUAAGCUUGUCCGCACCUCAACUAAUUCACUUGAUAUUUGUUACUCCGUGGCGGAGCCAAAAUUUUCAUUAAGGGGUUUCAGAAGUAAACAUAUGAACUAGUCGAAGUGGGUUCAACAUCACUAUACAUGAAAAAUAUUUUUAACCAUGUAAAAAUAGUAUAAAAAUAGUAUAAUUUUCCAUCGGUUUCGAAUGAACCCCUGGAUGAAAGGUGGCUUAGCCCCUGUUGCCACCUCCUUCCAGCAACAAGUAUUAGGUAAUUCUGUCCACCAAGACUAGAACAGAUGGAAUGAAAUCACCUAGCAUUUGUCUCUGUUGGAAAUUGAACUUUGAGACCUCGCGGUGCUCAACCCACUUCAUUGAACCGCUAGACCACACGUUACACUCACUUUGGAUUUUCCUGUAUUGCACUAUGAGUAUGCACAGUAUGUACACAUGCAUAUACAAGGACAUUAAAACCAUAUGUCAUUAGUUUGCAGCUGAGGAGAAAGAAUUUUCAUUCAGCAGUUUAAAAUAUAAGUAUAUAACCACCUUAGGCGAAGGGUGGUCUCGUGUAGGAAAAUUAUUUGGUGUACAGAGGUUAAAUGUUAACUAUCAUGAGUGUGUGUUUAAUUUUUCACAUACUCAAUACAACUGGAAAGAAAAUUUGCCCACACUUUGCCAUAAUCCUCGCCCCGCUGCUAGUAAAUACACGAAGAAGCAGAAGGGUUCAACAUCUACUGUAUAUAUAUAAAAAGAUAAUUACUUCUUCUGUUUCAAUUCAUCAUUGAAAAGUCAGUAUCGUCGAGGUCUUUAAUCAUUAAGUUUUUGCUGAUUUUGUAUGGAUCAUAUAUCUGCAUUAUACCUUACAUGAGUGUUAAAAUGCCCUUUGAACUUUACAGACAGAGGCCAAAAUAUUGCGAGGGCCACAUGAGGAUUUGGAAAGUUAUCUGGAAGCAAUUAAUCAACUAAGGGAUAUUGUUAAAUUUUUCAGCAGUACCAAAGGCCUUAAGAGUAGUAUUGGUAUGAUUAAUCAUGUUUCAAAUUUACUGGCAAAGUCUAUUCUUAAGCUUGAAGAAGAAUUCCGUCAGCUUCUAACUUCGUACAGGUCUGUAAUUUAAUAAGUUUCUUCAUAUGUUUUGCUUUGUAGUUUUGAGUAUAUUAACUUUACCUGCUCUUUCAUGUAAAAGUAGAAUUCUUUUAUAGCGUUUUAAGUUCAUCAUUCAAGUUAACUUCUGUUUGAUAAGUAUUAAUAUUAACUAACUUGGUUUGACAUAUAUUGAUUGCAGUAAACCUAUUGAACCUGAUCGUCUUUUCGAUUGCCUACCCCAAUCUCUGAGACCAUCUACAGGAUCACCUAGUAAGGGUGAUGUUACUGGAUCGAAAGAGCACCAACGAAGUUUAGAAACAGUUGUUUACCAUCCUCCAGCACUCAUUCCCCCUAGAAUACUGCCCUUGCUACAUGAGUUGGCUACGCAAAUGGUUCAAGCCGGCCAUCAACAGCAACUGUAUACUAUUUAUAAGUAAGUUAUCUCCUUAAAUAAUGAUAUACUUGCAGGAUGCACUUUAACAUUUGACGUUGAUCAUAAUGAAUUAGAUGUGCUUAAUAGCUCAUGCAAUUGGAAAGCGACGAUUCUGACAACUUUGUUCUUGAGACCUGCCUGCUUCUAGAUACAGCUUAACUGACUUUCUGAUGACCAUAUAGAAUUUCAAAAUAUAGCAGUAUCCUAAUCUGUACGUUGCCAAGAUUUCUUUUUGGUGACCUGAUAAGCGAUAUCUGCUCUGUCAUAUAUCUUAUGAUGUAAUGCUGCUUAGGUUUGCUCUAUCUAUUAUCUUGUCUACUGACCUAGCAUUCCAUAUAGUAUUACUUAAGAGUUGUGCAAUUGUAACUGUGGAUAUUUAACAUGGCUUUUGUUUGCGAGAGAACUAACAAACUGAUAACUUCCAAGCUUUUUCUUGAUUAAUUUUCUGUGAUAAUCUUUUAUCUGACAAAGUGUUUUUUCCCUGGAUAUACUACUCUGUCUCAUGUCAUUUGCAUUUCCCAUACAUCCUGUUUGUAUCCAGUGAAAUACGCUCUGUAGUCGUGGAACAAAGUCUUAGAAAGCUAGGUGUGGAAAGGCUUGGCAAAGAGGAUGUACAGAAAAUGCAGUGGGAAGUUUUAGAGGCAAAAAUAGGAAACUGGAUUCACUUCAUGCGGAUAUCCGUAAGCACUGUCUCAUCAUCCAAUUUGAUUUUGAUUUGAUCCUUGCUCUCUGUUUCCCCUUUUAUUAACCUAUUCAUCAUUUUUGACACAGGUAAAACUUUUAUUUGCUGCAGAGAAGAGAGUCGCUGAUCAAAUUUUUGAAGGUCAGGAUAGUCUUAGAGAUCAAUGUUUCGCAGAGGUUACUGGAAAUAGUGUAUCGGUGCUUCUUAGCUUUGGAGAAGCUAUUGCCAAGAGCAAACGAUCGCCUGAAAAGCUAUUUGUCCUUCUAGAUAUGUAUGAGAUAAUGAGAGAACUUCAGUCAGAGGUAUGAUGAAAUGACUGAGCAGAUAUCUCUGUCUCCUUAUCGUUGCUUCUGGAAAAUCCUACCUUUUAACUUAUUCUUCCUGUUUCUACUGCUGCUAACGUAGGAGCAUUCUUGCAAUUGAUAGAGCCGUAGGAAAAUUGAAGAAAUUCUGAGUUAUAUGUAGGAUUAUUUACUGGCUUUUGCUAGUUAGACACUUCUAGCUAAAGUGUUUUUGAUUUCUCUGAAUACCUUGGUAUAUCUAAGAGCGUGUCCAGUGGAAAAGUCAAUUGCCCGAUCAUAUAAUAUUCAAGUGAAUACCACAGUAAAUAAACAUCUUCAUUUUCAGCAUCACAUUUAUCAUAUUACCUUCAGUUCACGUCUUUGACUCUAUCGUUGUCUUUCUGCACCCCAACUUACAGCAAAAUUGUUCCAUCUGGCUAGCUAUAAUGGAGCUCUUUAUCUUUCAACAUAAAUCCAUAACCUAAAUGCUUUAGAUAAAAAUGCUACUAUUUGUUAUUCCUUUUUAAAGAGUGGAUGGGUGGGUGGUGGGGGUUGAGCAACAAGUUUAGCCUAGAGUUACUAGGAAGAACUAUGAGCAAAAUUUAUUGCACAAGUAUGAAAUUUACUUUUAUGUUGCGGGUCGCGGUAAGAGAAAAACCAUUUGUCAUUUCAUUCUGUUGUAGAACCUUUAAUAAAUUGCCUGGUAUCCGUUGAUUCACCUGUGUAUUACCUUGCCUCAAUAUCUUAACAUUAAAUACUAAUUUUUGUAUUUCCCUCCAUUAUCCUUCCCUGUGGAAGGGGAAUUUUGUUGGCCUGACAGAUGGAUAGUAUAUUCGGAAGCAAAUAUUGUGCUGAAAUGAGAGAAUCUGCUACACUGUUGACUGAUCGUCUGGCUGAGACUGCACAAGAGACCUUUGUAGAUUUUGAAGAAGCAGUAGAAAAGGAUGCCACCAAGACUUCUGUUCUUGAUGGAACUGUCCAUCCUUUAACUAGUUAUGUGAUAAAUUAUGUUAAGUUUUUGUUUGAGUAAGUCUUCACAAUGUUCUCCAAUCCUUUGUGUACAUUCUUUUUGUUGGGAACUAGGAGUUUGUUAUAUAUCGCAAUCUUGCAGAUGUUGCUGAUCAUUCUUGAUAUUGAUUUUCGAAAUGAUUUAUAUGUCUCAUUCUUCACUACUUGAAAUAGUUUUAAGAAAUGUGUUUUGAGCGUACAUUAUUGAGGAUUUCAACCCUAUGUACUUACUUUCCAUAUCUAUCUAUGAAUUUCUAUGCUUUCAUAAUUGUUCUUUCCGGAUCAUUCCUAAACAAUGCAAGUAUUGCAUAUCAUAAACUGUUUUCUGUAGUUCCUGUACCUUGUAAGUCACAUCUUCACCGUUUUCUGUCUAGUCUUGUGCUUCCUCUUUUGGUUGCAUCACUUACCUUGUCUCCCUGAAACAAUUAGUUUAUCUGAUCAGGUGGAACUUUGCAUUCCUUUCUUUUUCAGUUUAAAGCUCGUGUUUUUACAGUUUUGCAAUUCUCACUAUCUAUUGACUGUGGACAGCUAUCAAUCAACUCUAAAGCAACUUUUCGGAGACGCUGAUGAGGGUCAUAAAGAUCAGUUGGGAGUUAUAACCACACGGAUAUUGCAAGCUCUUCAGAGCAACUUGGAUGGGAAAUCUAAGCAAUACAAAGAUCCUGCAUUGACUCAAUUAUUUCUAAUGAAUAACAUCCACUACAUUGUAAGAUCUGUUCGCAGGUAAGUUAAAAUGUUUCUUGAGAGAAUGAGUUGCUUAGUUUGCUACAAAUAUAUCUUUGACGUUCUAUGAUGGUCUAGGUCAGAAGCAAAGGAUGUGCUUGGUGAUGAUUGGGUGCAAAUACAUAGAAGGGUAGUUCAGCAGCAUGCAAAUCAGUACAAGAGGAUCUCUUGGUCUAAGGUUUGCUUUCUACCUCUGUAAUUUUACACUCAUGAUGAUCCACAUUCUUUCUACUGGUGUUCUGGAACAUUUUCUCAACUUUUCUUUGUUAAUUUGGAUUGUGAGGUUACGGUUCUUCUUUCUUGUGAAAUUGUAUUCUGUGAUGGUAUUGAUAUCGUAAGAUAUAGACUUCAUCUAAUAAUAGCCAGAGGCGGAGCCAGCCCUCUUUAGGGGGUUCGUCCGUACCCCCUUCGACGGAAAAAUAUACUAUUUAUACAUGAUUAAAAUUAUUUUUUUAUGUGGUUAUAGUAGGUGUUGAACCCCAUUCGACUUAGUUUUCUUUGAAUAUUGAACCCCCUUACUUGAAAUCGUGGCUCCGCCUCUAAUUAUAGCAUGAUUGGGACUUCUACAAUGCAGCUUCUUAUCUUUGACAAAGGUGGACUCUAUAUGAUUCUUCUGAGAAUUGAUCUCCUAUUAGUCAUGUGAUCAUUCUUAUUAGCUGUAAAAAAUGGUGCCUAAAGCACCAGGAGGGAGCUCUAGUCUGAGCUGCAAAGAAGAACUCCUAAAACAUCCGAAGGGAGAUUUUCAAUUAAUUCCUAUUGAGAGUUGAGGCGAAAAAUUGGACAUAAUCUAAUUCUGGUUGAUAUUUUUCUUCAGGAAAAUAGCGUGUUAUGUUCAUAGUGAUCAAGGACAAGAUAAUUGUUUAAAAUAGCUUCCUUUUAUCAGUUUGUCUAGUUCUGAACCGCAUCUCUUUUCAAGUUGUGGAUCAGUUGAAUACAUAAUAAAGAUGCCUGUGGAAUCUCCUCUUCUUCUUCCAUUCUCAUGACUUCUCUAACGUUCUCCUUGAAGGAAAAUGUACAAUUUACAAUAUGAAGCCUGUUCUGAAAUAUUGUUCCCUAGCCUCGUCUUUUCAAUCCGUUGACACCUUCUCGUUAGACUGGUCAUACAUGUUGGAUAUGUGUGGAGUACUGCAUCAUUUUAUGUCAUCCUGAAUAGUUAUUUCCGUUUGUUACAAAGUAACAUUAUACCGCCCUGCUGGUCCUUGCCGCAGAUUCUGCAGACUCUCUCUGUCCAAGGAGGUUCCGGGAAUGCUUCAUUUACUGGUGAAGUCAGUAGCAGCGCUAGUAUCUCUAGGUCUGGUGUGAAAGACAGGUUUAAGACCUUCAACAUGUUAUUUGAGGAGAUUCAUCAGAGGCAAUCUCAAUGGACAGUUCCUGACAGUGAGUUGCGCGAGUCUUUAAGGCUCGCGGUUGCUGAAGUCCUAUUGCCUGCAUACAGGUCUUUCGCUAAGCGUUUCGGGUAUGCUUUCUUGAACUUACUUAACACUACUUUUAUCAAUGAAUAGUAGAACUUCUAUAUCUUCCCUCUCCAAGCAUUGUUUUCAUUGACUCUUCAUAUGGGGUGUAAUCCACCAUAUGACUUGACACAUUUUUUUUGCAUAAUAUAGUACUUGAUUUAAUGUUGUUUCCGAUCUGUUCAUUCAUUAUGCCUCGAAAAAUAUGGUUCAUCGCAUAUUCAUUGUUUCGUGUGACAUGUUUCUUUAGUCUGCGUACUUCCUAGUAUUGUUUAAUGUAGUUUUCUAUUUGAUCAAGUCGAAUUCUAUCCAAUAAAAGAAGUUCAACAUACUAGCUUCUAAUCAUGUAAUCUCCUAUUUUCCUGAGUGAAAAUGAAGUUUGUUACUGCUCUCAUAUCUGUAUUCUCUUUUUCAAACCGUUUGGAAAUGCUUGAUUUAAGCAGAGGGCCUAUCUCUACGAGGUUGGGGUAAAGUUUGCAUACAUUCUAUCCUCCUCAGACCCCACCUGUGGGAUUACACAGGCUAUUAUUGUUGUUAUGCUUCAUGCAUACGUAACUGUGAGAAAUCAUUAAGUGAUUUGUAUGAGUUUGUUGAUUAUUGUUAGGCCGAUGAUUGAGAGUGGCAAAAAUCCCCAGAAGUAUAUCAGAUACAGUCCGGAGGAUCUUGAACGAAUGCUGGCAGAGUUUUUCGAAGGAAAAACUUGGAAAGGACCUUAAACAGAUGUAAGAUCUAAAAACAUAGUAGUUGAUAGGAGUAGUUUUUUUCUGCUAUUCUUUCUGUUAGUUUAGUUGUUUCGAUAUUCUUUAGUCACUGCAAGUUUGAUCAAAUAAAAUUGGGGAUGUAAAGUGUAUAAUGCAUUUAUCAUUAUAAUGUAGUAAGUAGUAACUAUUAUUUCUUGAUUGAAGUAAAAUCAUUUCACUACUUUGAUAUUGUGACAUAGAGCAUUGUAUUACCAAAAAAAAAAAAAGACAGAGAGAAUUGAUCUUUCAAAAAAGCUGUCUAGUGUACUAAGCUUUCGCUAAGUAUGGGGUCUGGGGCUAAAAUGUAUAAUGCAUAUAGUAUAAUGUUUUAAUCAUCAUUUCUUGAUUAAAGUAAAAUCAUUUCACUGCUUUGAUAUUGUGGCAUAGAGAAUUAAUUCUUGAAAAAUGAGGGAGCGAGCUUAUAUAAAAUCUAAAAUGAAAUAAAGAAAAUUUCAUGAAUAGAUAGAGUCAACGGUACGACCAACAUUGCUAUCUACACGCGAAUUAGCUUUCGAGGUUGAGCAGUCUCAAUUUCACUACAGGAUUUGCGAAUGAAUGUUGGGUUGGGCCACCUCGAAUGGCAUGAGUCGCAUACGGAGAGACCCUUACGUACGGUUUUUAGGGGGAUAUGGUAAAAAAACUGGCCGGUGCCCACCCGACUAGAGGGACUGAGAAAUUAAUUGAGAAUAAAACUUAUCUUCCAGCUUUACUAUAUUCUGAUUUUAAAGGGAGAUCGCGGGGUCAUUGAAUAAAAUCCUCUGUUUCUUUGUAGGUGUUGAUCCGCAACAAGACAGAGAUGGUUAAGUGAUAUAGAAUACGGUGACGAUCUUCCAAUGCACAUUUUAAGGUAAUUGUAAAAAAUAAUGGUGGUUCUUUUCUUCGAGCUAAGAUAGACCUAUUGAAAACUAGUUUCAGAAGCAUAUUCCAUUUAUCUCGUCGUCUUGAUCGUCGAAUUCCUCCAACAGAAUUAUGAAAAAAUAAAGGAUAUAUAGUAUGUCAAUAUUGUUUAGUGUAUGACUAAAUUUACUACUAAAAACUCACGAUUUUAACUAAAAUUUUUCAAAGGAGAUCUGUGGAAAUUAUAAAAAAUGUACAAUCCGUCAUAAAAUAUUACGUCAUGUAGCUCAAUAUAUAAUAUAAUUUAUAUUUGUUGGUUGGGAACUACAGAAUUAUGAAGGGCGCUACUAGGGUUCUAAUGACGGGUUCGACAUAUAUAAUGUAAUAGUUUUGAUUUAAAUUUUAUAUUUUUAUUAAAAUAUUUAUUUAUAAUGUAUAAAUAAUUUAUCAAGAACCUAUUAAUUUACUAGUUUUUGAUUACUACAGAUGUUGCAUGUAAUUCUCCUCUUAACAUUAAAAGAUGACGUGAUGCACUGAAACUUUCGUUAUGUGCAUAAUUUGGGAACGGGUAGGAUCACAAAGGCCUAUUGUACGCAAUCUCAACUUAUAUUUCUACAGGAGACUAUUCCACGACUUGAACCCGUGACCUGAAAACAAUUUCUCUUGACAGUGAAAUUUUUUACUCUUGUUUCAAUUUAUGUGAAGGAUUUUAACUUGCCAUGUGUUUAAGAAAGAAAGAAUAACUUUCAAAGUGUGUGGUUUAAAUUGAGCGAUAGAAGUUUGUGUAGGUAUACAUCAUUUCAUUAAGGAUAAAAUGAGAAUUUUAAAUUUAAAUUGUUACAAAAUAUAGAAAUAUGUCAAUUCCUUUCGGGACAGACUAGAAAGAAACUGUUCUUUUUACUUGUCCACUUUUUUGUUUUGAGAUGUCAAAUAAUACUUGUCCAAUUUAUAAAAUUAAAAUUUUAAUGGAUAAUUUACCUAUUUUUAUCAUUUUAUUCUUAGCAUUAAAUAUGAUUAUUAUCUAAUAUUUUUCUCAAAGCAUUAACUUUAUUAUAUUCAAAGAGUAAUUUGGUAAAAUAACUUUUAUCAUUUACUGCUUUUUAAUUUCUAUGUCAAUAAAAAGAAUUUCUUAAUUUCUAUGUUAAUAAAAAAAUUGGAUAAUUAAAGAUGAACGGUGGAAGGGAGUAAUAGUUUUUCUGUAUUUCCAAAAAAGUUGCACGUACAAUUGAGCAAAGCUAUACGAAUUCAAAACAAGGCUAAUAGUGAGAGAAUUAAUUAUGUUAGGCAAAUGUUUUUUCUUGUCUCACUUUUCGUUGUGUGUGAUAAAUUAUUUUCUUCAAUGUGUACGUAGUUGAUCUUGUUGUGAGUUAUAAAUUAUUUCAUACACAGAGUCGGGUGAUUUUCUUAUAUAAUCUUGAACAAUCUUUAUCUUUUGGGAUUGAGUUAAGCCUGAAAUUCAUUUUUUAAGAAAAUAUGACAUUGGAGCGAGAACCUGUCCCAAUCGAUCUCGUUUCGUGAUGUUAGGCCUUCAUAUUAAAUUGUCCAUAUUCUAUAUGUCCAAUGUAACAGUAAGCGUGAAGCGGGGUGUUGAAGUGUCCCACACCAAAUGAAUAAAAGGAUGAGUAAUCUCCUUAUAUGCUACUGAAUAAUUCUAAUAUCUUAAACUAAACGUCAGAAUUCAGUGAAGUCCAAAAUCUAUUUCUGAAUAGUUAGUAGAGUCAUGCAUACAUCGAGAAAACUAAUGUAGGAUCAAGGGGGAGAUGGAUACUAAAUAAUAAAUACACUAUCUAUUAAUUUGUAUCUUUUCCUAUAUUAACCAAUAAAUAAAAUACUAAAUCGAACAAAUUCAUAAAUCAUAUAUUUUUAAUAUGAGAUACGCGAUAAAUCCAAAUAUCAAAUAGUAUUAAAUCAACUUCUAGAAGUACGUGUCCAAAACGAGUAAUACAAGUGAUUUUGUAGCACUUCUAUAGUCCUCACAAAAUUUGAGUAUUCAAAUUCAUCUCAAUCUGAAGAAAAAAAAUUUCUUACUUGAGUUCCCUCUUCCACACUUUAAAAUGUCAAAAAUUCCCCCAUUAUUUAUUUUCUGAUAUAAAUCUCUGUAAUUUCUGAAAGAAAUCAAAUCAUCCUUUCUCCCUUUCUUUUUAUUAAAAAGAAAGGGGGGAAGGGAACAAAUUAUAAUGAUGACAAGUUCUUUAAAUGAUGAAAUAAAACCUAUUUUUGGUUAUCCAGAACAAUUUCCUCAACCAGAUCAUAAUUUUGCGUCACCUUAUUCCAAUCCACCAUAUAAUUAUCCUCCACCAUAUGAUCAAUAUCCAUAUCAUUAUCUUUCUUAUUAUUACUCAAAUUACUAUAACGAUAACAACAUCAACAACAAUAAUAAUGAUUUUAUGCAACCACAAUUUUCCAACGUACCCCCACCACAACGAAAAAUUAUAACUUUUUGUCGAGUACUAUUCCUUUUUAUUGUUGUUCUAACGUUGAGUGUCGUUACUUUUUUUGUAGUUAAAUUUUGGAAAGAAUAUACAUAUUACCCUUCAUUUGAGGUUGUAUCGUUUGUUGUACAUACUUUCAACAUAUCAAACACCACAAAUAAAUUAACAGUUGAUUGGGAAUUAGAUGUGAAUGUGAGGAAUUCAAAUAGGAAAGUGGAAAUUAUUUUUGAGUACAUAGCAACUAGCUUGAUGUACAACUCUCAAUUGCUUGAAUCAUCGUUCAGCGCGCCUUUCAAUGUGUCCGGAGAAAACAGCUUCGUGUAUCAUGUCAAUUCUCAUAUUCCAAAUCCGAAUCAGAAGAAAAUCGGAGGCCUUGUGGUCAAUGAUAUGGCUCAUGCUUUACGAAGAGGUGACAACUUGUACAUUGAUCUGGAGAUAGAAGCUACAAUAAUUAAUAAAGGUAGUACUAUCGCGUAUCGCAAAAGAAAUUUGGAUUUAUCAUGCGAAGAUUUACUUUUGAACUUCAACAGUCCAACUAGCUUGCCAGAGUGGGAUGGUCAUACAAAUAGUUAUAUAAUGAAAUGCCAGUACUACGAGCCCAAUUGGUGGUAAUUUCUUCUUCAUACUUUCUUUUUUUCGUAUGGUAAAAUUAAUAAUAACGUCAUUUAAUUUGUCCGAAUAUCUUUUGACUAUUACACCAAACUAGUAUUAUAAAGAAUAUAUAGCAUAACAUAAAUUGAUUUUUUUUUUUUUUUUUUUUUGAAUUGUUAUUCACAUAUUUCUAUUAUUGAAUGACUCAUCCUAACAUCUUUCUCUUGCUCAUUUUAAUUGAAGGGAUUAUUAUUUCAUAUGGAAUUGGUGAAUUUCAUGGCGAAGAAGAGGCCACAAGUGAGCUUAUUAGCUAUAUCUUACAACAUUGAGGAGCAUGGUGAGAUGAAUUAUUUUUUCUUUAAACAUAGUCGAUCUCACAUUUUAAAUAUUCUUGAAUAUGGAGAAACUCCUGAUACAUAACGCUUCUUUUUGGUACGAUAUGGCGCUACGUAUACCCUUUACACCAGCAACAUGUCUUUUUUCUUUUUUUUUUUUUCUUUCUAGUCAUGUUUGAUAUACCUAAGCUAGUAAACUAGGUAUAUAUUAAGCACAAGAGUAUAGAGUGAUAAAUUAAAGCACAUAGACAUGAAUAUUAUAAUUCAAUAGUUUAAGUCAUAUACAUUAUGUGUCAAAGUAAUUCGCCUUGUUUUAAAGAUUUUUUUCAUAACUUGAUGAUGCAAGAUUUUUUGUACACAAAAUAUAAUUUAUAUAAUUUUUUUUUUUGUUUGAUCUCUCUCUCCUUUUGGUUCAUCAGCUAAUUAAUUAAUUACUUUUAGCACCCACUUUUAUGUUUUCCCUCCUCUUCUCAUAUUUUUUUUUUUGUUUUUCAUUUGGUGUUCGAUAAUUGCUUGACUUAUAAGUUCGAUGUUAGGAGUAAAUCACUUUUUUUUUAUCAAAAAUGGCUACAUAUUUAUAUUUCAAAUUCAAGAUAUUUAAUUAAGGAUAGAGAAAUAUUUUACUAUUUCAUCACAUUCUUUGAUAAUAAUAUAAUACAUGCAAUAUACACCUUCAAAAAGUUUCUUAAACCUUUUCAAUUAAAUGUUAAAUGUGGCUCCCAUGCAUCCUAAAUUAAUUGCUCAACUGUCGAGUUUAUCAAUCAUAACCAUUAACCCCCUCACCCCCACCCCACCCCACCCCCAAGUAGUCUAUCAUUACUAGUGGUUAGGAAGAUGGAUCGAAAGCUGAUGAAAACUAUUUUCAUAUCCAUUAUUUAUGGAAAAACAUUCAUGAGCACAAGCUCAGAUAUACAUAAAGCCUUGUCGCAGCACAUCAAUUUUAAGGAUAGUCACGUACUAGCCUCACUUUGCUUUAAAUUCUAGAAGGAAUAAUACAAAAGUAUGGACAACCUAACCAUAACCAGUUUGAUCAGAAAUAUUGACACAAUAGACAAGUUCAUCCUGAUUGGGAGCUUGGUUGGAUCGAAUUUGCAUACCCACCCCCUCCUCCAACCCGAAGCCCAACCCCACCUAGAAGUGUGUUUGUCUGAAAAGUUGGAAUGAUGAAUAUGAGCAUUUUUAUAUUUAAAAAAAAAAUAUGAGGCUUGUUGGCGCAAAUCUACAUUAGUCGUGUUAUCGUGUAGCGAGCUUUUGAAAUUGGACAGUAAAAAAAAGAAAAAAAAAACGUUUGUGUUUCAUGUAAUCAUGAAGUUAUUUGACAUAACUUAAUCAAUGCAUUUUCAUUAUUUAACCAUCACGUAGAAGUAUCUAUUCUUAUGAUAGCUAACAACACCAAAUUAAAUGAAUCAAAGUCCUUAAAUGUCAAAAAGAAGGGCUCUUUUUACUGUUCUCUUUAUUAUGGAUUCAGAAAGGCACUAAAUGUGUGAAAAAGACCAAUGAACUACACACAUAUGUGUGAUGACUCACAUUUGAUUCCCCUAUGUUCUUUCUUUCAUUUUCCUUAUCUACUUUUUCACCACAUUUAAAACUUAUUUGUUUGCACAUUCCAUCAUUUCUAUUUUCUAAUGUGUCUUUUCCUCCCUUAAAUCAAGCUACCCACCAACUUUCUCUCUUUAUUUAUACAUUAAAAAGGCAUUUAGUAUUCGUGAAUCAUGAUUAAAUUUAAUACAACACACACUAAUUUUAUAGGGAUUCAUUAUUCUUUUGAACUCAAUUUUAGCAUAUUUGUAUCAUCCUUUUUAAUCGAUAUGACACCUUUAACAUAAGCCUCAUUUCUAUGUGAUAAACAUGUCAUAUCAGCACAAAAGGGUGCCAAAAAUACACUAAAAUUGAGUUCAGGGAGUAAUAGGCCCCUUGUGAAGUUAGAGUGUGUCGUGACAAAUUUGAUUGUAGUUCGGAAAGAUACUGAAUGUUUAUUUUUAAAAAAAUUGAAUUUUAUGAUCUUAAAUUAAGAUGUGUGUAGUUUAUUAAAUCUCAUAGUCUUAAACUUGUCAUAUAGAGAUUAAAAUCAGAAAACUUACUAUUAAAUAUUAAAAGAGACGCUUUUUUUAAAACAAAUCAAAAAGAAAAAUAAAACAUGAUUCGAGAUUGAAGGAGUAAUAACAGAGUUGAAAAUUAUAUUAGUCUCUUAAUUCCCACUAACAGGUCAUUGCUUGAUUGCAAAAGUUCUAAACAGAACGGAAAACUUUUAAAAUUUGUACAUUUAUAUAAGUACAAAUGAUCUUAUUACUGAUAAAAGAAUAGAUUUUAAAUUAAAUUAUUUUUAAAUAUAAAAAAUUAUAUCACAUAAAUUAGAUAUAGUAAAAAGUUUGGAAUUGCUAGCACGUGUAACUUACAUUGGAUGAUGGCCAAUAUUUCCUAAAUUUGUGUGUAGUACUAAUUUGGAUUGUGAUGAUAAAGCUCAAACUUCAAAGAAGAAAUAUUGUUAAAAGACCUCUUACAAGUACAAAUAGUUGAAAUUUUGCCAAUGUCUGUGACUGUGUGUGUCAGAUCCCAAAAGUAUAACUCUUUACUUUUGGAAUCUGUACCAUAUUAGUACAAUGAUAAGGUAAAAGUAUAUGAAAUUCUUGUGGGGAAUAGACAUAUACUUAGAUUUGUUAAGUGACAUGAGGGGAAAAAAAAAAAAAAUUAAAAUGGCAUUUGUGGGGGCUUCUUCUUGCUUUUUCCAGCAAUAUUGUACAAAAGAAAUAACCAGAGGAGCUAAAUUUCAUGUACUUACAAUAAUUGUUAGUUGAAAGAGAUACACAUGACCUAAUUUGUGAGAUUAUGACCAAUCAAGAUUGUAAUGAAGUAUAAGUGCCAAUUAUGUUGAAUUCUCAUUAUAAAAUUCAUUUUGUUAAGAAGCAGUUUACUCUUAAAAUAGGACUUUACGAGACUAUGGAGCAUAAUUUUCCAUCAGGUCGAUUCAUAUGAAUGUAAGUUAUAGUGAAAUGUAGAGAAUAACUAUAUGAUCGACACAAAAUAUAGACAUAUUUGAUUUAAGAAUAUAAAUUUUGAGCCCAUCGAAUCAAAUUAAAAUUCUUUCAAGAGUUUAGCUUUUUAUUAUACCAAUCAUUUCUGUCGCUAAACAAUAAAAAGUAUUUGUGAAUUUUAUGUAACGAUUAUUAUUUUUCUUUUUGAAAAAAGUAAUAUGAUAAGACGUUCUAUAUUAAAAGACUCUAAAUAGAUGGAAGACUUAGUUUUCUCGCUUGUCUUAAUUUGUUUAGUUUCUUCUAAUGAAAGUGGUGCUUAGACUAGUAUCCAAUUUUUUUUAUUUUUUUUUGUGUGUGAAUUUAAUUAAUCCCAUGAUCAAUAAUUUAAAUCGAAUGAUUAAAAGGGUAGCACUAGAAAAAUGUAGAACCUAAGACAACAUAAUUAUUCACAUGUAAAUGCCAAGAACUUCCAAGCAAAUAGUUGUUGAUUGACUUGAUUAUUUUGCUGACCUUGUUGAGGACGGCCAAUUUGUCAAAUCCAUGAAUAAUUAGAAGCAAAUUUCUGUGGAUGCAUUUGAUUAAUUAAUUAAUUAAUUAAUAGACUAUAGAGAAUAUUUUAGGUUAAUCAGUGAGUAGGGUAAAAGUGAACAUUAGCUAGGUAGGUAUGUGUGGUGGAAUGUAAUGGAAGGAAAAUGAUGUUCAAAAUUGACCACAUGGAUGGUUGCUUACAAUUAAAAAAAUAUUUCUUCUUUUCAUGAUUUAAUAAUAAUAGAUAUAUAAUAAAAAUGUACUCAGGGAUCAUUUGAUCGGGAAACAAUUAUUUCAAAAUAAUUAAUUUUGGGAUUAGUUAUCUCAUCAUAUAUAUGUGAUAAUUUAUUACAGCGCUAUGAUGUAAAUAAUGGAGUAAAUAAUCAAGAUAUUAACUAAUACCUCCAACCAAGUAUGAAAUAAAAUAAUCUUUUAUCUCGAGACUAUUUGUCCUUUAUACCUCACACCAAACGACUCCUUAAUCUUCUCUCUCUUUCUAUACUUGUUAAUUUUUUUCGUGAUUUAUUCAUUUCCCUUUUUUAUAACGUGCACUUUUGGACCUAAUUAGUUAAAUAUUCUUUAUCCUGAAUAUAUAUAUAUAUUACAUAUAAAAAUUAUAUUAAAUGUAACAAUAAUAAUGAUAUAGCGAUGUAGUCUUAUAAAAGGUGAUUUAUAUUUUGAUCAUCCGAUAUGAACUCUUGAGUAGUUCAAGUAAAACAUAUCAAAUGAAAGAAAAUAAAUAGAGAGUCCUAGGGAAAAAAAAAUUUACUAUAGCAACACCAAAUACACCAUCAUAACCAAAGCAAACAAUAAUAAUAAAUAAAAAAUUGAGAAUUUAAUUCAUGAUUCAUUCAUUUCCCCCCUUGUUAUUAUUAAUAACUUCACUUUAAAUUUGGAGUCGUGGUCAAUCCAUGAACCUUCCAAGGGUAGGGGCCUUGGUGCACCAUUUCCCUACUUGGUCGGCUACAUUAUUUGAAUUUAUUUUCUCUCUCUAUAUAUAUUUGGACGUCGAUACAAAAUUUGAAGUGGAUAAGUUAUAUUAAUUUUGAGUUAAUAUUACAUAUAAUUAAAAAUAUUUAAUAAUUAUCUUUAAUAGAAUUUAAUUUUUUUUUUUUUUUGAGUUCAUGUGAAUCUAUAACUGAUUGUUUAGAUUUGCCCAUCAUAACAUCAUGCACAUUUCAUUGUCACCCUUAGCUAGGCUGUUACAUCCUUACCAUCCACAUUAUAUGCAAAGUACUCUCCUUUAUGCAAAUUGAAAGUGCCUGUUAUUAUUUUUAGAGAUUAUUAAAUAAUGACGUUACUAACAAUUUAACCAAUGAAAAUAGAAACAAUUAGUUGAAAUUAAUCUCGGUGAUAAUGAUUAGCCACCCAGUAAUCUCUUAAAAUGAUUAUGGUUAGGAGAGUGUAAUUGUACGUGUUUCUAUGGAUUCAAGAGUACCUUAAUCUAUUAAGUUUAAAAUAAAAUGAAAAUUUUCUCAUUAAUUAUAUUGCUGUCUUUUACAUCAUGCAAUUAUAAAUUAGUUGUAAUUUUUAAUUUACAUAUUUACUUCCAAUUUUUUUUGAAAGAAGUCAAAUAUUUGAUUUCUAUAUACUCUACUGUUUGAAUUUAUUUUCCUUCUGCUUCAAAAAGAUAUUUUUCUCAUAUUUUGAUAAUUUUUUAGUUAUAUAUUUCACAUAAUAUAUUUAAUAAUAUAAAGUUGAAAAAUAUUACACAACACUGUGCAUAAACUUAAUUUUUUUUCGUGAUCAAUUAAAUUAAGAUAAAUAAACGGAAAAGAAGAAAAUAAUUGGUUUAAUCAAGCAAAAUUCACAUAAAUCCCAAGAAGUUUAUCUCUAAUUACACUCUAUCCCUAUUCUUUUCUAAAUUACAAAUAAUCCCUUAUUUUGUUAUUUCAGAUACAUAAUUAGCAUCCGAAUACAUAAUUUUGAACUUAAGAAUAUGACACUUAAUUACUCUAUUUUUGCUUGGAUACAUAAUUAGCUUCGAAUACACAAUUUUGAAGUUGAGAUAUAUAAUUUUAAUUACUGAGAUACAUCUAUUUCUAAAACUGUUUGAUCGAUAUAUAUAUAAUAUAUUAACUAGAUCAAAAGGAGAUACAUAAUUAAAAUUAUGUAUUCAAAAAUUUAUGAAUUUCUCAAUAUAUCUGAUUGUUUUAAAAAACAAAAAAUUUAGGUAAUUAAUUAAAAAAAUAAAAAUUUUAUGUAUUUCUUUUUAGUAAAAAUAAGUUAUGGUCAAUUGGGAUAUUCAAAGCAACAGUUGUCGGCGGCCUUAGCUGGGAAAUUUUCUUACCCCCAUAAUGCAUGUGGGCUCCUUGUGAAGAUAUAAACGUGUCAUUUACUCUUUCUUCACACUUGCUUUCCAAUUUCAAUCAUUAUUUUAUAAAUUUUUGUAUAACAUUUGCUACAAAUCAAUUUCACAAACUAAACAGGGAAAUUGGAAAAGGAGAGAGAGAGAAUAUAAUUAUGAGACGAUUUCAGGUAAAGUGUAAUAAUUUAGGUAAUAUAAAUGAAGUUUUGGCGUAAUUUCGUAAUUUUAGAUAUGAUGUGAUAAAACGAUUAUGAGUUUAAUUUGUAAAACAAUUUAAAUAGAUCCUUAUGAUUUAACAUUUCGCCAAAUUCUACGUACAUCAAAUAUUACAUGUACCAAAUUUGUAUGUAGAGUAAAUUUUCUAACGAAUACAGUUUGGAUGGAAUCCUUGUUACUGGUUUUACACUAUCUUUAUCCUUAAUAAGUGAUUUUGAGUGGUCGCAGGAAUGAAGAAACUCUAGAUAGGAGGUAGUACUUCUUCUGCGAAUAUACUUAUCUAAUAUGAAUUCAAAUUAAUCAAGUUGUUAAAAUUUAAAUAUUCUCUUCGUUCAUCUUUAUUUAUUAUUAUUUUAUUUUUUGAGAUCAAUUUACAUAAAUUUUGAUUAAUAUUUUAAAAUAUAUAAUUGCAUAUUAUAAAUUUAAAUAGUCAAAAACUAUAUAAAAAUAUUAUAAAUUCCAAUCGUUCUCAUAUUAUUAUGAUACAAAAAUAUAUUUUAAAACAUUAAUACAAAAUUAUGGACCUCAAGAAACGACGCAAUAAUAAGUAAAACGAACAGAAGGUGUACCAAACAAUUUUAUUUUAUUUACUUUUAAGAAGUGACACUUGCUCACUUUAUUAUAUACUCCCACUCUAUAUCAAUAUAGAUAACAGAGUCUCCACAACCACUCACUCCCUUUUCCAUUACAGUCUCAAACAUUCUCAUCUCCACCACCACAACCAAUAGUACGCACCAUGUCAGUGAAAGAAUGCACACACCACAAGGACCGGAAGCGUAAAAUCGCCAGGCGCCUCUGUGCCGGACUUCUCAUCUUGCUCUUCCUUAUCCUCCUAACCAUACUCUUAGUAUGGGCAAUCCUUCAACCCAAAAAACCUCGUUUUAUCCUUCAGGAUGCAACAAUCUUCAACUUCAACGUAUCCGCUCCCAAUAUCUUCUCUACAUCAAUACAAAUCACUAUAUUUGCACGUAACCCUAAUGACAAAGUUGGGGUUUACUACGAUAAAAUGAAGACCUAUGCAAAUUAUCAUAACCAGCAAAUUACGUACUAUACUCAAAUUCCGUCAGUUUAUCAAGGUCACAAAGAUGUUAACAUAUGGUCACCAUUUGUUUUCAGUAAUAAUGUUCCAAUUUCUCCUUUAAAUGGACCUGAUUUGAAAUCAGAUCAGCAAAAUGGAGGUGUUUGGCUUGAUUUUAAAGUUGAUGGACGUGUUAAAUGGAGAGUUGGAACUAUUACAACUGGGCAUUAUCAUUUACAUGUUACAUGUACUGCUUAUGUACCGUUUGGAAAUCGACCUGGUGAUGGUGGAAUUAUUGUUGGAAAUAAUGCUAUUAAGUAUCAAAUUGCUCGAAGCUGUGAUGUGAGCGUCUGAUAACGGGAACUUUAGUGCAAUGGAGGACGACGAAGAAGCAGGGGAGUUUUAUUGCUACUGGAAGUAAAAGUAUUUAUUUCUCCUUUUAAUUACUUUUUGGACCAACUUUUAUUCUAUUUUUCGUUUUUAUGCUAUUCACUUUUUUUCUCUUACUUUUUGGUCCUUUAAAGUUGAAUGAACUGUACAUUUUGCUGCUAAAGAAUAAUCUUUGUAUUUGAUCAAUUAUUAUGAGAAACUUACUACUAGAUAUCAAAGAGAAAUAACAAUAAUUCCUUCUUCUCUCUCUCUCUUUUUUUCUUUUGUUUUUCACCCGGCAUGUCCGGCACCGGGCUCUAUUAGUUCGGAUUCACUACCUAUAUAAAAGGUAGAUUUUGUACUCGAAGCUCGAAUUUGAAAUGUUUAAAUAAAAAUGAAGAAGUACUUACCACUCCUCCACUAUUAUUAUUGUAUCAAUAUCAUUUUUCUCUAAUUUUCAAGCACACAUAAGUUUUUGUUACUCAGGCUUAAAAUCUUAAGAGUGACUAAGAAUAUAAAUGAUAAAGGAGAUUGAGUACUAAUUGUCAAUACUUUUUCUUUUUAAUUAAAUUGUUCAAUGGUUAUUAUUUAAUUUAAGAAUAAAGGAGGAAAUGGAUUUUCGUUUGCCAAGGUUUUUAGGGAUUGAUCAAUAUUGGAUCAUGUGAGCUUUCUUGGUUUACUUUUAUUACUUGAGGUUUACUCUUAUUGAUUACUUUGUUCUUCGAUUAGCCAUUUUCUUUAUUAAAAAGUAAACUCUACUUUUUUUCUUUUCUUUUUUGGUUAAAAAAAUACAUUCCAAAUAGAAGAGUAGUAUGCAAGUGUUACAUCAUAUUUAUUACACAUAUCGUUUAAAUUGAGUUGAAAAUCAUGACAUCUCAAUGGUAUGUAUAGUUGGCUGUGGUACUCUUAUUUACUUUGAGGUUUAAAUAUUCUUCUCUACUUCAUUUUCUGAAUUAAAUUGUUUAAUGGUUUAGACCAAAAGAAAUGGCUUUAAUAUAUUGAGGGUUAGGUAAAAUGGGAACACAUGCUGUGUUUUGAUUAGCCUAGGAAUAUAGAGAAGGGGCAACCCAUGUGCUAUAGCUGAUUUAAGCACUUUACCAAACUAUGACCUGUUUCAUACGUCUCUCUCAUCUUUACCACAAUUUCAAUGCACAUUAUGUCACUUUUUCUUUUUGGAUAUGCACAUAACGGAAGUUUUAUAGUACGCAUCGAAUUCCCCUUUUAUUAUGAAACUUUAGAGUAAAGGUUCUUGAAUGGGAUGAAUUUAUUUUAAAAUUGUUGAUUUUUUAUUUUAUUAAUUAUAUUUUAAAAAUAUAAAUUUGAGUAUUAUACAUAUAGUCAUGUAAUUAUUAAAUUAUAGGGGUAGAAUUGAAUGAAUAUAGUAAAAUUAUCUUGAUUUCAUAAAUAGAAUAUUAAAUUAAAAUAAAUAUUUUUAAAUAGGGAUAAACAAACGAAAGAGAGUGAGUAAUAGUAAUUGAUUAACGUGCAAAAUGCGAGUAUUAGGUUUACAUGAAUUUGCAUGUUACUCUCUGAAUCCGCUACGUACUUGUUUAGUGUGUUAUAUUCUAUCAUUUCUUUUUACUUUGUCACUUUUUAACGCGAUUCACUCGUUAAGAAGAAGACAAUGAUUGAAAAAGUAACUUUAUCAUAUUACUUUUAUUAAUUGAUGUUUAGUAAUAGAUGUUGAAAAAUAAAUUGAAAAAUAAGUAACUAAUGCUGAAGGUAAAACAUGAAAUUUCUUUUUAUCUUUUCUUGAUUUUAUAAAAAAUGACAAGUAAAAAUACAAAAAUUAAAUUAGAAAAAUCCUGAGGAGUAAAGACGAAUAUGGAAGUGUAAAACCAUUACCAAAUUAGGAUCCCACCAUCACUUUAGUUUCAAGAAUGAGUUCGAUUUUAACAUCGAUAAUUUGAAUACUUUAAAACCCUAACAAAUAAAGGACGUAGGCACCUGAAGUUAAUUAGUUUAAUUAAACAGGAGCUAUAUCAUAUAUUGUCAUACUUAUAUAUAUAUAUAUAAAUAUAUUGUCAUACUUUUGAUACUUUAUGAAAGUGCUAACUAGUUGGUGGGUUAAUUAUUACUGGAUUGUUGGUAGAGUUCCUAGUGGGAAAGUGUAUAUCAUAUGUUUACUAAUUUAUAAAGAAGAAAAUUGAUUAUCAAAGAGAUAAGAUUUACAUGUGGCGUUAGGUCAUUGGACAAAAAUGAAAAAGGUUAGAUAAAGGUUGGUUCCAUGAAACUUUUCUAUAAUUCGUCUGUCCGAACAGGAGAUCCUAUAACAAUAAUAACAAUACUCCCUCCGUUCCACAAUAAGUUAAUUAUUAAAUUUUAAAAUACAUAUUAAGCAAAAAAAGUAAAGACAUAAAUUUAUCAUUUUUUUUUCAUUUUUACCCUCUUAAAAAAGCAAAGACACAUGAUACAUCACUCCCAAUACACAUUUAAUGAAGGGUAAAUUUUAAAAAAAUUUCCAACAUUUACCUUGAAUUGUGAACCAUUCACUUAAUUUGAAACACUAAAAUUGCUCCAACAAUUCACUUAUUGUGAAACGAAGGGAGUAAUAUAUUUAAUGAGAUUGCACAUAUAAAUUUUUUAAAAAAUAGUGUAUGCAAAUCUUAGACUUGCUUUAUAAAAUUAGAAAAACUAUAUUUUCGAAAGACCAAGUUCUUUUAUGCAAUACUACAAAAUAGAAACAUGAAGAAUUAUAAUCAAUUUAUUUAGUGAGAUAAUUAUGAUCAAAUUGGAAUGGAGUGCGUUGUACAUAUGUGAAAUAGUUGGUUAUAUAGUGCUUUAAGGAGAAGACAAAAAUGGGUAACGCUCUUUACGUGUAAGAAAGAGAUACGACUAAAAUAGACCUAAUACUACAUGUUCAUCUUCCAUUUGAUAAUUAAAGUUAUUUGUAUUUAUUUGUACCUAUAGACCCUUCAAUUAUAUUCUUCCAAUGGUUGGUCCAUUUGGCUCUUUAUGUUUGUUGUUUUCAUGGUUUCAUAAACACAUCAAAUCAAGUCUCAAUAGUCCAAGGAGGACAAGUGGCAUAUGAACUCAAAAGUUGGAAGGACAGGGAAAUAUUACAAGAGCAUGUUUAUAAUUCAACUACUAUAUAUUAUUAUUUUUUGCAACAAAAUCAUAAGAUCAAGACUUUGAGAUGAUUCAAUCUCAAUGAUUCAGAAAAUUAGGUCAAAAACGAUAAUACCACACCUUGACAGUUUAGUUAAGGCAAAUUUUACAUUGGAAUGAGAAGGAAGAUGAGUCGAGCUAAAGCGAACAAUACAUCAGUAGUUGAAUUUUCGACCAUGAUAUUAAAAUUCAUCAGAUUUUUCAAAACCCCAAAACACCCAUCAACAUGGAUAGUUGGUUUCUCUUUAGAAUAAAGAGAUUCAAUUAGCAUCUAAGCUAAUUAACUUACAAAAGCUAGCCCAUCAUAGGUAGUGCAUCCACUCUCUCCCAUUUUUUUAAUUACUUUAUACUCUCUCCCUAUUAACAUACAUAACAUAACCGACAUAUACAUAACAUUCUAUAUAUAUGUUGGGAUUUUUGUAAUAUAUUUAGCGAGUUGGGAUUUUUUUGUAACAUGGGAAACAUAAGUUGUGUAUUUGUCUAAUUUUUAGUUUAAAAGAUCUCGGUUUUAGUUUAUUAAUGUAACUAGAUAAUCUUGACCGUAUUUUAUUAAUGAUUAUAUGCAUUGUACAUCAAUGCAUAACUACCAUUACUUUGAUUAUAAUUUUCUCCUCAUCUGACUAUAUAUCACAAUUCAUUUUCGUUCACUUAUAACUUACUCUUAGCAUCCUUAUACGGAGUUCAUGAAAUUUCGUAUCAAAUCAAAAUCAAACAAACAAAUUGAAAUGAAAAGUAGAAAUAUUAUAGUAAUAUUCAAUUUUUUUGAGCAGUUCUUGAUAAUGUGUUGGUGAUAAUUAUCUCUAAUUAAUACUAUGUUGGUAUAAUUGGGCCAGUUGAACAGAGAAAUGGACCUGUGCUAUGACACUCAAUCCAGCCCAAUACCAUUCAAGUUGGUCAAAAUAAAGGAAUUUUUCGUCGUUGGCUUUUACUUGUAACUAUUUUUCUAAUUGAGUUUUUCAUUUUAGUUAUCAUUUUUGACAUAUUAAGAAAAGCAAAAUAUUUUUUUCUAUUUUACCUUUAGCAAUAAAUGCUUAUUUUCUAAACCAUUUUCAAAAUAUAUUACUCAAAACAUCAAUUAAUAGGAAUAAUAUGGUAAUAUAGUCAUAUCAAUAAUUAUUUUCUUAAUGAGUGUGGCAUGUCAAAAAGUGUCAAGUAAAAGCGAACAAAGAAAGUAAAAAAAGUUACCCGACUUCCAUUUAUUCCAUAGCGCAAACACGAUCAAAGGUCGAAGACAAUUCAUCCACCACCAAGAUCAUUUUUUUUUUUGCCACAACGAAAUAGGACCAAGUCGAUGAUCUAUAAGGAUCACCAGGUUGUUUUUCAAGAUAAUGAACUUGUACAAAUUAUCAAUUCGAGGGGCCAAUAUUUUUUUAUAUCAUAUUGUACCAUUGACUCACCAUAUAGCACGCAACUUGACCUUUACUCAAGAUUCUCUAUUUGAAAGGAAAAUGUCAAACUAUUUUAAUUACUAACAAUUAACAAUGUGGAUUUAGUAUCUUCUUAAUUAGCAUACAUUUCCUCAUCCACUUUAAUCAAUUUCCAACCAAAACAAACUAACAUAUCCUCAUGAUAAUAAAAGAAAAUCAGCUAAAAUAUAAGGAACUCAUUAUUUAUUAACAAAACAAAUAUAUCCAAAUAACAAAAAGGAGUGAAAUCCCCUAGUCAAGAAUAUCAACCAUUGUCCAAUGAACAUAGUAAAUCCAAACAAAAUAGAGAAAAAAAGGUACACAAAAAAGCUCCAUGGUAAAACGUAGAUCAAGAAAUUAUGCCAUGAUAGAAAAAAAAUUCUACCAAUCAAGAUGACAUCUAGUUUCCUCAAAAUUAGCAGAUGACCUUCCAUUGGACUCCAAAGGAACCUUGAUGUCACAUUCAAUUUUGGGCUUAAUUUUGUGUGUUUUAAUCCAACCAAUCUUUAGCCUUAUACGCAUAUAAAGCUUCAUUUCAAUAUCAUAAACUCCAGAAUUCUUCUCAUUAUUGUAAUUUGAUUUCUCUCUAUCCCCCAAUAGAACCAAACUUUGUCCUUUAAGCACUGGAUGCAAACUGCUAGUAUUCUUGUGACCUUGAUAAAACGGUUCCAAAUUUUGACUAGCAAAUCUCUCACCUUUAUACAUACCUCUAGCUUCAAUCGAAUCGUAGUAAAUCCCGAUUCUUUUAUUAGGGUUCCUUAUAGUCAUAUUGAGGGCAAGAUCAUAGUAAAGGGUGUUGUUGGCAGUGGACAAAUCAAAUUGUGUCAACGUAGCAUCAGUCACGUAGAAUUUGACCUUGUUAGGACGUAGGACAAGCCAUAGGACUAACGCAAUGACUCCAAGGACGAUGAGAAUAGUGAAGAUUAUUUGAAAGAUGCAAUUGCAUAGGCAACCAAAGAGACAGCUGCAUGGGUUGCAGCUGCUUCCCCGUCCAUGACGAUGAUAAGAUUUGGAAGGGGGCGGAAUGGACGGGCCAUAAUAGGCUCCGUUCAAGUUCGAUUCAGGCAUACCUUAUAUCAAACAAACUCAAAAUUAAGUACAACUUAUAAUUUUUUUUUUCUUUGUUCCUUUUGAGAAUGAUGGAGUAUAUUUUUUUUGGUUAGUGAGAUGAAUAUAUAUAUAGGUGUCUUAAUGUGUUAUAUAUUUUAUUUGUGUAGAAUGGAAAUAGUGGAAUUGGUAAACAAAAGUGGAUUGAAUAGUACGAAAGGCCGUGUUAUUUUAUGUUGUUAAAGAGAGUUUGGAAGACGCUGUUUGUUUUUUGGGAUUCCCAAAUUUUCUCCAUCCAAAAAUACUUGUCGAUUAUUGAUUCGACAUGUACUUUACGAAAUAAUAAAUUAUAGGAGUAAUUUUAUCAUAAACUAUUUGAAUAUAAUAAAUUUAAAGUUUUGAAAAAUGAAUUGGAUAGUAAAAAAUAUUUAAUACCAAAAGUAAAAUAGACGCAAAUGGAUCUAAAAAUUGAUUUUUCAUUCUGGAUAAGUAUUAUUGUAUAAUUAUUUUAGUAAUAUGGACAAUUAAGAUGACCCAAGGGAGUAGGAAAUAAUAGGUUGUUUCUUAGAAAUUUCCAAUCAAGAUAUAGUGAUUGACUUAAGUUUUAGUCAACAAAUCAUAUUCUUUUUAGUAUCUUCUUCAUAUUGUGUUAUUGUAUAUAAGUUGUAUACUAGGGUUAAUUAGUAGAAGAUAUUAAUGUGAAAGGGAUAUUAAGAGAAGAGUCAAAUGGUAGUAUUUAAAAUAUCUAUAUUGUAAUGUAAUACGCUUGGAACAUUCUUCCUUUUGUCUAAUUUCUACUUGAAGGGAAAAUAGCAUCACACGGUUUAUUAGGGUAUUCAUUAUAAGUUAUAACAAUAUUAUAUUUCAGUGUAAUUUCAGAAGUAAAUUCUGUAAGAGUAAGAUAUGUGCAAAUCUUAUUGUUAUCUUUUACGAGGUAGUGAUGUUAUUUAUCAGACUACUUUAGGAGUAAUCAUUGAUUUGCUUUAAUUACUAGUCAUAUCGAUAUAAUUACAUUUGUGUAAAUAUAAAUUGUGAAGAAAAAGUUCAAAAGUCUAAAUUGAAGCUGUCAUAGAAGCUUAUGCUGAUGUUACAUAGAAAGAUGGGGCUUUGGGCUUUAGGUGACAAAAGAGUUUUAAAAUGAGUUGUAGGAGACACAAGUCUUAAUUAUUAGGUGGAGGUGACAAUUAUUUUAUUAUGGAUUAAGAAAGUUGGAGAAGUUUGAAAAUAAUCCACAAGUUCUUAAAUUUUCACUUUGAUCCAAAUAUUAGUUAAUAUAACAGAAUAUGGAGGGAAAAAAGGCGUGUUUCUCUCUCUUCUCAUCUGUUGUUAUUUUCUCUCUCUUCACGAUUAUUGUUGUUCAUUAUUGUUGCUGCUGCUUUAUUCAUCAUCUUCUGCUUCAUUAGCAUCAUCUUCUACUUCAUUAUCAUUUUCAUCUUCUUCUUGUUGACCAUUGUUGUUGUUGUUACCGCUACUGUUGCUAUUUUAUCAAUUUAUUAGGUCAAAUUUUGUUUCGAACAUCACCACUUUUCACUUUGAUAUUACUUCAUUGGAGACCUUGGUAAGUCAAAUUAUGAUUUUUAGUCGAAUUUGUCGUCUGAGUUACAAAGUUACUGCUGUUUUUUCCAACAAUGGAUAGAAGCUGAUCAUGAAUCCAACAUAAAUGCCCAUAAUUUAAACAGAUCACUCAUCUGGUGCAUCAGAUGAGUAAUCUGUAGCAAUAGAAGAUAUAUUGGUUGCAACAGACUAGUUAUCUGUUGCAUCAGAAUGAUUAUCUAUUGCAUCAGACUUGAUUAUCUGUUGCAUCAGACUGAUUAAUCUGUUUGGAACAACACAAAUUAGCCCUGGCCACAAAUCCAACAAAUAACCAAUAUUUUGCUAUUGCUACUGGAUUCAAAAUUAUUUCUUAUGUUCAAUCGUCGAUAUGUUUGUUGAGAGUAUAAUAGACAGAAUGAAAAUUAAAUACUCCCCCCGUCUCAAAUUACCCAUCCCAAAUUUUCUAAUUUGAUUUCUCAUUUUACUUGUCUUUUUUUAUUAAUCAAGAAGAGAUUAAAAAAAUUUCCACAUUUUACCCUUUGCAUUAAUCACUUUUUCUUCAAAUUAAAAUAUAAACAUCAUUUAAUAGGGGUAUUAUGGUAAACUAAGCAUGUUAUUAGUUAUUUUUCUUAAUCAAUGUGCCAUCUCAAUUUGGGAUAGGUAGGGUAAUUUAAGACGGAGGGAGUUAUCUGUUGAAACAGACUAGUUAUCUGUUGCAACAUAUGAGUAAUCUGUUUGGAACAUCAUAAAUCAGCCCCUGCCACAAACCCAACAGAUAAAUCUUAAAUCUUGCUAUUGCUACUGAAUUCAAAAUUACUCCUUACGUCCAAUCGUCGACAUGCUUAUUGAGAAGAUAAUAGACAGAAUGAAAUUAAAUAUGAAUUAAAACCGUCAAAGUUGAUCAAACAUAAUUUUUUUAUUAAACUAAAACAAAUAAAAAUACAUAUACAGACUUAGAAAGAAAGAAGAAACAAAAUAAUCUAAUUAUUAUUAAUAGAUUCUUCAUCAUUAUUAUUAUUAUUGCCAGCCGCAGCUUCGACAGGCAACAACAACGCCCUUCUUAUCCUGCGGAUCCCCCACAACAUUCUUACUCUGACAGCGGCCAACUCCUACUGUAUAUUAUGUACCUGCCUCUGCAGUUCCCGUACGUCGUCUCGUGAAAUAGCGACAUCCCUUACUGAAUCGUCCAUAUCUAGAACACACAUAAAUUGACUAAAAACGCAAAAACAAAAGUAAAGAAAAGAGUUCGAAAGUAAUACAACAUAUAUUUACACAAAAACCAAGAAAAAAAUUACCAGAGACAGGGAAAAGCCAUCAGGUUCUUGAAGAGAAAGUAGUUGAAGGUGUAAUAUGAAAGACAAGAGCAAGAAAUAAAUAGAUAUGUGUAGUAAAAUGAAUGAGGAAGGAUGAACCUAUUUAUAGAGGAUUGAAUUUGAAUGAGUUAGGCAAAAAGACGCGACUGUUCACCUCCAUUUAUUAAUACUGAUGACUUUUUGAUUACUGUGAAAGUUGUGACUUGAUAAAAUUCUUUUCAGUAACCCUUUUUUUGAGUUGUGACAACAGAUUAUAUAUCUAUUGCAUCAGAUAACCCAUCUGUGACAAUAGAUAUAAAAUUUAUUGCAACAAAUCUAUGAUCUGUUGCAACAAAUAAUAUAUUUGUUGCAACAUAUAUCUUUUUAAUAAUCAUCAUAUCUUUAUCUUUAAUCCAAAUUUAGUAAUUUUUUUAUUAUAUAAAUUAAAAAAACAUAUUCAGAAACAAAAAGGCGCGACUGUUCACCUCCAUUUAUUAAUACUAAUGGAUUUUUGAUUACUGUAGAAAGUUGUGACUUGAUAAGUUCUUUUCAGUAACCAUUUUUUUGAGUUGCAAUAGAUAUACCAUUUAUUGCAAUAAAUCUUCAAUCUGUUGCAUUAGAUAAUAUAUAUGUUGCACAUAUAAACUAUCUUUUUUAAUAAUCAACAUGUCUUUAAUACAAAUUAGGUGACUUUUAUUAUAUAAAUUAAAAAAAUAGAUUUAAAAACAAAUAUAUCGAAUAGUCACGAUCAGUUAUUAAAAUUAAAUAACCAUUUUGUUACGGUUAUAAAUUGUGUUUAUCAUUUAUUUCCUUAUUAUUUAUUUACGAACCCUUUUUCAUAUUAAAUAAUCGGGAAGUCAUGUCUUUUCACUCUCUCAAUAACAAUAACCCUUUUUUAUUAAUAAUCGCCUGUUGAAACAUAUGAUCGGUCUAUCUCAUCAGAUUAACCUUUGUCGACAUGUUGAGAAUAAGGAAUAAGCAAGAAUGAUAAUUAAAUACUAAAUAAGAAUUAAAAAUUCAAAGUCGACCACAAAACAUAGACUUUUGAAUCCCUUAGGUAGAUCCGAUAUACAAAAGGAGGAAAAUACAUACAUACGCUAAAAGGAAAAAAAAAUAUAACCUAAUUAUUAUUACUACUAUUAUUAUUAUCAUUACUAUUAUUAUUAUUACUAUUAGUAUUUUCAAUCGGACAAUUUUCAUCCGGCAGCAGCAGGGCCAAAUCCCUGUGGAGUUCAUCAAAUUGCCUUUGAAGUUCCUACAAGGACUCGAUAUGAAUCUUCUUGUACAAAUCUAGAUCAACCAUAUUUGUAAGGGUAGUAGAAUGAACAAGUAAAUAAGGACCUAUUUAUAAAUGAUUGAAUUGGAAGGGGUUGGUCAAACAAAAAGCCACGACUGUUCAUAUCCCUUAAUUAAAUAAAACUGGUGACUUUUCGAAUAUGUAAAUUGAAAAAAAUGGAUCUAAAUACAACAUUUAUCUUAUUAAUUUAUUUUGGAAAGAAAAGAAAAUUGCCUUAAAAUAAAUCUAACAGAUGAGUAAUCUGUUGCAAAAUAUAUUCCAUCUGUCAGAUAACUUACAACAUAUUGACAAUCUGUUGCAACAAAUGGAUAUAUCAGUUUUCUUUUCCAAAAGAUGUGGCACCUGUUGCAACUUGUUAAUCAUCUGUUUAUUCAAUUUAAGUCAUAGAUGGGCUAGAAAGAAUAAUGUGCGUGCAGAUGGAUGCACUAUCAUAUGUGCGUGAGUUAAGAAUUAUUACUAAUAAGGUCACCGGGACAACACACACAAAGUAUAAUGUUUUUGUGAAUGCAGUUUUUAACCGAUUAGGCAUUGAUUAUUCAAACAAGAUCCUGAAUUAUACAGUUAAGUUUGAUGGGUUCAAAUUGAUAAGGCUGAGGGCCUCAUGAAGAUGGUGCAGAUACCGUGUUACGAAUUACCGAUGAUUGUUUCUCGUAUUUAUGCGUGUCAAGUUUUGAGAAGGGAUCAAUAUUUGGUAUCAUUGCAGAGAACCAAUAGCGAUUGGACAUUAGACUCUGAGAAUAUCUUCAAAGCCUCGCACUGCAUCAAACAAGAACGAAAAACUAAUAGAAAUUUCCCUGGCCCAAAUUUAUAUCGAAGGGUUGAUCGAGAUGAUGAUUAUAUGCCAGAAGGAGCCUGAGGAGAAUGCUUGCGAGGGAAAGGGGAGUUGAUGAAAGAAUAUAUCAUCUCAGAGCUAAUUAAAGAUGAGACAUAGGUAGAAAGUAACUUCUAGCAAAUCUGGCCGAUGGAGUUAUCUUAAAACAUGAGAAAUCUGAAUCAAGUGCAAAUAUGAAAGUGUAUCCGGUAAUGUAAAUUCGUUUGUUGUCUCUCUGAAAGAAAAAUAAUGCAGAUGGACACUUUGCUAGGGAGCUGCGACUAGGUAACAUGGUCGGGCUUAUUACUUAGAUAGAAAAUAGCAGAAGAUGAAGAAAGCAACCUUGAGGGCAUUAAGGGUUGAAAUGAUGUACAGUAAAUCUAGAAAACUUCCGCCAAUAGCAACUGCAGUUAAAGUAAGGCAUCUAAGCGAAAGCGACAAUUUUUGAAUCUUAAAUUGCAUCCCAUGCCUUUUUGUUUGUGGUUCCGAUUAGGUCCACUGCUUUUGACCUGAUCGGAACCGCAAACGUAAUUUGAGUAUCAUCACUUCGAUAGCAAUAUGGUUGUAAUUGAUUGCAUUUUAUAGCCUUAGCAUGCUUUCAACAUUUCUUGGAAAAGAUCAGAGGCUUGCUCUAGUUUGUGAAUUUUGAUUAUUUUCAAGCUUGCCUCAGCCUUGAUAAUUCUAUAUUCAAGCUGGUCAUUGCUGUCUUCGAAUCUGGUUUACAGUUCCUGAUCUCUUGUGAGCUCGAUUAGGAACACUACCUUCAAAGUUGUGGCAUUGAAGAAGGCCUUCAGAACACUUUCUUCAGAAGCCUUAAAGGAUACAUAGAGGGUCGCUGUGUUUAUUUUAGGUCAAAAUGUGUUGAUGCACACUGAAGAUGUAGUCCCAACAGUUGAACAACACACUUUUAUCGAGCGUUGCUCAAUGCAGCUUGCUCAACCAAUUUGAUAAAUUAAUAAGCAAGGAGUUAUGUAGUGUAUGAUCUAAACCGACUCUACCAAUCCUAUCAAACAUUACGUAACUACAACCUCAUUACCCUAUCAAUAAAAUUUAACAGAGUUUAUGCACAAAUCAAAUAAGCUAAAUCUCCCAGGCUUUCUGCUAAUCGCUCUUCUCCAAUUAUAGAUGAAAAGAUAUCUGCUAUGCAAAAGUCUACACCGUCGUCAGAAAUGCUUUCCAGGGCGCAAGUAUUUAGAUGGUAUCAUCAGUAAUCUCUCAAUAUCAAGUGAUAUUGAGAGAUUCCUAGUCAUGCCUUCUCAAGAUGUUCGCUACGACAAGAAUUUCUGCUGAUGACAAGAUAUCUGUCAUGCAAAAGUCUACACUGUCAGUGGAAUUUCUUGAUAGAGCAAAAGUCUUCAGAAGGCAUUAUUAGUAAUCUCUCAACAUCAAAGAAGUCUUGUACGAAAGUCUUCAAAAGACAAUCAAAAAUAAAAAAGUUUUAAGCAAUGACUACACAUAAUUACGACAUCAUCAACCUCACCAGAUUCACUCCUCAUACAAAAGAAAAGGCAGAAAUAUUUUUAUUUGCAUUCACAUGGUAUUUAUUUAACAAACCAAACAAAGAUGAACUAAAUCUAUCAUUUGAUUCAUCUUUGUUUGGUUUGUUAAAUAAAUAACAUGCGAAUGAAAAUAGAAAUAUUUCUGCCAUUUCUUUUGUAUGAGGAGUGAAUCUGGUGAGGUUGUUGAUGGUAAUCAACAUUUGGUCAUUGCUGAAAACUUUCUUAUUUUUGAAUGUUUUCUGAAGAUUUUCAUACAAGACUUUCUUGAUAUUGAGAGAUUAUUAAUAAUGUCUUCUGAAGACUUUCGCUCUGCCAAGAAUUUCUGCUGACGGUGUAGACUUUUGCAUGGCGGAUAUCUUGUCAUUAGCAGAAAUUCUUCUCGUAGCAAAAGUCUUGGGAAAACAUGACUAGGAAUCUCUCAAUAUCACUUGAUAUUGAGAGAUUACUAAUGAUGCUAUCUGAAGACUGCCGCCCUGACAAGCAUUUCUGGCGAUCGUGUAGACUUUUACAUAUCAGAUAACUUGUUAUCUAUAAUUGGAGAAGAGCGAUCAGUAGAAAGGCUGAGAGAUUUAGCUCAUUUAAUUUGUACACUAACUCUGUCAAAUUUUUUUGAUAGGAUAAUGAGCCUGUAGUUACGUAACGUUUGAUAGGUUUGGUAGAGUUGGUUUAGAUCACACACUACAUAACUCCCUGCUUAUUAAUUAAUCAAAUUGGUUGAGCAAACUGUAUUGAGCAACGCUCGAUAAAAGUGUGUUGUUCAGCUACGAUAACCAUAUCUUCAGUGUGCAUCAACACUUUUUGAUAUAAAACAAAUACAGUUAACCUCCAUGUAUCCUUUAAGGCUUUUGAAGAAAGUGUUUUGAAGCCAUCUAAACUGCCACAACAUUGAAAGGUGGUGUUCCUGAUCGAGCUCACAAUAGAUCAGGAUAUCUUGACCAACUUCGAAGACGGCAAUAGCUACCUUGAAUACAGAAUCAGCAAGCUGGAGGCAAGUUUAAAAAUUAUCAAAAUUUACAAACUAAAGCAAGCCUCUGAUCUUCACCAAGAAAUAUCGAAAGCUUGCUAAGGCUAUAAAACACAAUCAAUUAUAACCAUAUUUCUAUCGAAGUGAUAAUACUCAAUUUUCCUUUCAAUCACGUUUGUGAUUUCUAUCAGGUCAACAACGGUGGACCUAAUCAGAACCACAAACAAGAAGGCAUGGGAUGCAAUUUAAAAUUUAGAACUUGCUGCCUUCGCUUAGAUUCCUUACUUUAACUGCAUUUGCAGUUGACAAAAGUUUUCUAGACAUACUGUACAAUAUUUCAACCCUCGAUUCCCUUAGGGCUCCUUUCUUGGUCUUCUGCUAUUCUCUAUCUAGGCGAUAAUCCUGACCACGCUACCUAGUCGCAGCUCCCUAGAAAAGUGACCAUCUGUACUAUUUUUCUCUUAGAGAGACAAUAGACGAAUUUUUCAUUAUUGAAUACACUUUAUAUUUGCACUUCAUACAGAUUUCUCAUGUUUUAAGAUAAUUUCAUUAGCCAGAUUCACUAGAAGUUACUUUCUACCCUAUUUAUCCUCUUCAAUUAUCUCUUAGAUGAUAUAGUCUUUCAUCAACCACCCAUUUUCCCUCAAAGGCAUUCUACUACCGCACCUACUAGCGCAUAAUCAUCACCCCGAGUAACCCAACCAUAUAAAUUUGGUCUAGGGCAAUAACUAUAUUGGUUUUUCAUUCUCGUUAGAUGUAGCGCUAGGCUUCAAAGGCCUUCUUAGAGUCCAAUGCACCCUAAAAGUUAGUCCAAUCGCUAUUGAAUCUCUUUACAAUGACACCAAUACUAGAUACCUUAAAAAUGCUUGACAAAUAAACAUGAGUAACAACCGACAUUAAAUCUUAACAAGGUAUCAGAACUAUAUUCAUAGUCCCUCAGCCUUAUCAGUUCGGACCAUCCAAACUUAACUGUAAAAUUGUAGAUAUCUUGUUUGAAUAAUCUAUGACUAAUCGGUAAAAACAACAUUCAAAAAAUUUGUGUACUCAAUGUGUGUUUCCAUGAUAACAUUAUUAGUAAUACAUACCUCUCACAUAUGAGUGGUUCUAUCUACAUAAAACUUAUUCCUCCGAACCCAUCUUUACUGCAGCCUCUUGUGAUGGUCGGGCAAAAGUUGAUUAACUGUUCGUUCCUUAUAUCUACAAAGAAGAGAAAAAAAUUGAUGUUACAGAAAGAACAUUAUUUAUCUAUUCAUUAGAUGUGGAGUCUGAUGCAACAGAUGUGGAGUCUGUUGCAAUUAAUUUGGAGUCUGUUGGAAUACAUCAAACUAGCCUUGCUGGUGGUUUGAUUUGUUCCAACAGUUGCUUCGUCUGUUGCAACAUCAACAACAUAAACUACAAUGAAAUAACAAAUAAAAAACAUCAACAACAAAGAAACAACAACAUUUGUUCCAACAUCAUCAAACACAAAUAAGCAACAUUCUUUGUUCCAACAUCAUCAAACACAAAUUAGCAACAUUCUUUGUUCCAAUACCAUCAACAACUCCACACCAUAACUUCCAACAACGCAAACCCCACCACCAACAUAAAUAAUAACAUAAACAAUAAAGAAACAAACAAAAUACAUACGAAGAAAUGAUAUUGUCAACAAGGCUUUUAAACUUCUCCUAACAAAAUACUUUUUUUGCAUAUUGUAAUAAAAAUUCUCGGUUUAUUUAUUCAACACUUAAAAGUUCCUUCAAAGUUUUUAAAUAAAUAUAAUAUAGGUAAAUGAUAAUUAAAUAAAAAAUAGAUGUAGAUAAAUUACAAAGAAGAAGACGAGAAUGGAAGAGCAAUAGUGAACCAUACCUUAACGUCAAAAGGGGAUUCAAACAAUAAUUUUAGUCGAGGAAAUAUAUGGAUUGAUUUAGAUCCGAAAGGAUCUUUAUGAGAAAGAAAAGAGAAAAGAGGAAAGAGGGAAAAAAGGCUGUGAUAACCCUAAGCUAAAGAGGAGAGAUGAAAUAAUUAUAGAUGUAUCAUGUACGUAGACGUGGGUUUCAAUGUUCAUUAAUAUAAUUAAUAUUCAUUAAUAAUUUGAGGGGCACGAUGAAGACUAGUGACAUUGAAAAGACAAGAUAAGACUACUCAAUGAACAAAUUUUUGAGUUAUCCAAGAAAAAGAAAUUCUUCAUUUUUUACCGCGUUUUGUAGUACUUACUAAUUUAUCUACUUGGACAGAAGCUUGCUUUAAAAUUGAAAGAAAAAAAGAUUUUCAAACAAAUAUGUCAUCUAUUGCAACAAAAAGCAAUAUCUGUUUAAAAAACCCAACAACACAAUUAUCUGUUACAACAAAUAUAAAUAUCUAUUUAAAAAUCUCUUUCCAUUUGAUAAUUAAAUAUGUUAACUGUUACAAUAGAUAUCAAUAUCUGUUUAAAUAUCCUAACAACUCAGUCAUCUGUGACGACAAAUGCAAAUGUUCAUUUGAUAAUUAAAUCAGAUAUAUCAUAUGUUACAAUAGAUACGAAUAUCUGUUUGAAAAUUUUAAAUAGCUCAGUCAUCUAUCACAACAGAUUUAAAUAUCUAUUUGAUAAUUAAAUUCGAUAUGUCAUUUGUUGCAACAGAUGUGAAUAUCUGUUAGAAAUUUCCACUAGCUCAGUCAUUUAUUCCAAUAGAUUUUAUUGUAAUUGAUUUAGGUGAAACCAAGGAUGAAUAAAUAAGCUCAUAGAGUCAACUCUAAAUUCAAUUGAGUCUUUGCAAUGGCAUAGCGAUGGUAUUGUGUUCAUCUCGACCCAGGUAGUCGAUUGAUCACUCUGACUUGAAUGAGCUCUUAAUAACUUAAUGUUAAGAUUAAUAGUACCUAAAUUGAUUUAGGUGGAACUAGGGAUGAAUGAAUGAUCUCAUAGGGUCAACUACAACUUCAAUUGAGCCAUUGCAAUUGCAUGGUGUUGGUAAUGCGUUCAUCCCAACUCAGGUCGUCGAUCAAUCACUCUGAGUUGAAAUGAGCUCUCAUUAACUUAAUUUUUUAAAAACUAGUAUAUCUUUUGAAAUUUUAAAAAUUAAUUAAGAUCAAUUCGGACCAAAUUAACAAUUUCAAAACUUGUCAUUCUUUUCCAAAAUUACAAAUCAACCCAUAUAAAUCAUCCAUUUGUGGAAAAAACUUUUCCUCAUUUCAGAUCUCAAGUUAUCUCUCUCCUCUCUCUCUCUCUAUAUCUCAAUAAUACAGACAACAACUACUUAACAUAUUGAUCAACCCUUAAAACAGAUUGAUUUUCUUCCCAUUUUCGACCACAUAGUUGUUAUUUUCGACUUCAUUAUCGCUUGUAUCCAUCAUUUUCUCUGUCUUCGUAGGUAAUAGAGUUCGAGAAGAGUUCUACAUUUUUUCUUGAUUCUAAAAAUUAGGGAUUUUUAGUUAAUGAUGGAAAAAAAGACUUUUAGUUGUAUUAUCUUCGAGAAUAGGUUAACAAUUUUGUGUUUUGAUGCUAAAAAGUAGGAAGCACCCGAGAAAACUCUAGUUUUUAUCUCAGUGUUUUAUUGAUUAUCGUGGUAUUGUUUGAUGGUGUUUGUGGUGUUGUUGGUGGAUGUUGUUGUUGGUGUUGGUUUUUGUGUUUUUGGUGGCAGUGUCGGUGGUCGUGGUGUUGGUAUUGGUGGCAUUGGUGGUGGUCUUGGUGGUAGCGUUGGUUGUGGUGUUGGUGGUCCAUCUGUUGCAACUGGUGGGAUAUCUGUUGGGAGAUAUUAAAUUGGUCUUCAAAUAGAUUCCCCAUAUGUUCCAACUGAUGGCUUAUCCGUUUGAGUAUUCUUUUUUAUAAUGUGGCGUAGAAUAAUUUAUUGAAAUUUGUCUUACCUUUUUUUUUUUUUAAAUUAUGCGGUCAUCAAAUGAAAUGUAUUUUUUAUUUUUCUAUUUUUUGUAGUUAAAAGAUGUCUCCCAAAAGAAAAGAAACUGAAAGUGGAUCAACUUCUGACCACCCAACAAAAAUAGCUAGAGUACAGAUAGAUUUGGAGGAACUUCUUGAACAAGCUCAAUCGAGGAAAAAUAAAGUCGAGGAAAGCGAUAACUCCUCACCAAUGGGAUGUGAAAUAAUAUCGAAAUCCCAGCAUGAUUCUGUUAAAACCAUUAGUAUCGGUAGGUUUCGAGUUGGGAUGCCGAUGGAUAGCCCUGACAAAGUAAGUGGUGAUCUUGUACUUAAAUGUCAAUUGGAGAAACGUUUUAAUGAAUGAAGGAUAAUUAUGAAGAAUGAAAACAUAGACGGACUUUUUAAAAAGAGCUUCUUUGCAUACUUUCUUGAGCUGCCUGAUGACUGCACUCUCCGUUUCCCAAUGAGCAUGGUAUAGGGAUUUCUCAAGCGCAGGAUCAAGUAUGUGGGGGAUGAUAAAGAUCCGAAGAAGGGAAAAAAAAAGAUGGAUGAAAUCUGAAUCAACUACUGUGGCAUGCCGAUUAGUUUUGGGUUGAAAGAGUUUCCCAUAGUGAUGGGCUUGAGAUGCGAUUAUCCAGAAGAACCUCUCAUCAAGAAAAUACCCCACAAAGGGACCAACAAACAUAAGGGAAAAAAAGAUGGGUUGUUGGGAAUUGUUGGACGUAGUAGCUACAAAGCGGAGAAUUUGAUGGCAGAUCUUAAGGAUAAAGGCAUACCAAAGCACUGCAGGGAGAAAUUGUGCUUAGUUUGGUUUAUCGUUUUAUUGGUAAGAGACGUCAGGAAAGUCAUAGAAGAUGAUUUGUUGGCGGUUGUUGAUGAUUUUGACAAAUUUAAUGACUAUCCUUAGGGAUAUGACAACUACUACUUGACUGUUCAAUAUUUACUGACAAAGCUACUACAGGGAUGAUCACAUUAUACAGCUUGCCCUGGACUUUCAUGAUAAAAUUGAUCACUAUUUUUACUCAUCCAUUAAUUUAUAUUGAAUAUACUUAUUAUGACUUUUUUUUGCUUGCUUCAUGUUUACAUUUUUAGGCUUGGGCAUGAGAAUCCAUUCCUUCCCUCCAAAAGCAGUUCAGGAAUUAUCCGGAUGAGGUUUCUCAUCUAAGAAUCCUUAGGUGGUUGGCGGAUGCAAAGGGCAGCAAAAUAAAUAUUAAGGUAUAGGAGACUGAUCUAUUUAACCCUCCAGAUGAUGCAGUAUGUCUUCUUUCAACUAAAAUAAUUUUUCUCAAAGAAAGAUAUUGAAACAGAUGUUCUAUCUGUUGUGAUAGAUGAGUCGUCUAUUGUAAUAGAUCACCCAUCAACUGUAACUGGUGAAAUAGAUGAGUAAUCUGUUACGAUAGAUGAUCCAUAUUUCGUAAUAGAUUUACCAUCUAUUGCUCUGGUUCUCUGAACCCGACUCAACAGAUUACCCAUCUGAUGUAAAUUAUGUAACAAAUGUGCAAUCUGAUGCAACAUAUUAUCAAUCUAUUGCGACAUACAAAUCAGCUGAUAUAACAGCUAGAUCGUCUGUUGCAUAAGUUGGCUGUGUUAACAUCCAUGUAACCCAACUAAAUGCAAAUUAUUAUUAUAUUAUUUAAAUGUCUCCUGUCUUUUUUUUAUAGGUUGUGCAUCCUUGGAUUGUGCCUACCGUUGAUGAGCUGGGGAUGACUUCUUUUCUUACUCUGGGUCUUGAUGAUAAAAAAGAAGACCCAACGAUGGAGUUAAUAAAGAAGGAAUUUGAUAGAGCAACAUCUAUAAGAAGAGCAGUUAUUAGGCAAGGUCAGCCUACUGUUGAAGCUCUUCACGACCUACCUUAAACUGCAACAGAUCCGGGUGCUUCUUCUGGGGGUGUUGUUGGUGGAGUUAUUUAUGAUAGUGGAAGCCAUCCUGAUGCUGCUGCUGCCAGUCGUGUUUAUGAGCAUGUUGGUGCUUAGAAAAAAAUAAAUACUUUUGAAAACACCCCUUGCAUAGGUCCCUCUCACCCCUACAUCGAUUCCUUCCAUCCUUACAGUAGUCCAUCUCACCCCUUUCUCACCCUCAUAUUCUUAUUGCAAAUGCAAAGUAUGCAAGGACAGAGAGGAUAAACUCCUUAAAAAGCUAGAGGCUAUUACUAAAGCUGCCGAGGAGUUGAAAUCAGGAGGAAUGUCAUACCAUCCAAUGAGGUGAGAAAGCCAUGCACUCCUAUAAUGGCGGUUAGGAGGAAGAGAAGAAAAAUUAGACAAAUCUCUCCGUUCUAAAAAUAACAAAAAUUGCAACUCCUCCCGCUCCAAGAGUUAUUAAAGUUCAGUGGCGGCUGAAGAAGAUGGACAUAUUCUCAGCGCUUGGCAAGGAGGAGAAGAAAGAAUUGCAAAAAAUUAUAAAUGGCAAGACGAAGGUUCAAAAAGAAUACACCAUGUAUUCAUUUGCCGCCAAAGACUUCACGAGUAUGACAAAUGCGUGUGUGGUAUGAGGACAAUGUAAGUUUACUUUUGCUAACCAAGCCUUCCAAUAUACUCUAUGAAGAAGAAUCUACGCAGCAGAUAUGUAAUCUGUUACAACAACUUGGUAUUCUAUUGCAACAUAAUACAUAUCUGUUGCAUAAGUUACAUUGGCUGGGUAAUCUAUGAAUUGAUUCAGAAAACCCUCUGCAUCGGAUUCUUUCCACUGUAUUUUUAUUCUUUACAAUUAUUAACAUAUUUAUAAAUUGUCUUCUUACACCACAGUAUGUUGAUGAAAUUCUCUGCCUCACAAGGGGCAGGCAAUUAGAGUACCCGGAUGCUUAUGAUGUUGCCGAUAGGAUAAUGAACCUCGGUUUCUAUAAUAAUUUCAAUGAUAGAUACGCUGAUAUCCAUAAGUUAGCUGAUUUCGGUGGGUCGAGAUUUGAUAAGUUAGUUUCUAAGUUCUAAUGGGAUGAAUAAAUAAUUAAAUAUGUUAGAGGGAAGGGGACAUAUCCUCACGGCAAGAGCUGGACCAAGGCAAAGAGGAUCUUUGCAGUCAUGAAUGUGGAAGUCAAACAUUUCCUUACUGUUGAGAUACUACUCUACGAGGGAAAGAUUAAGGUUUCUGACUGAAACUUACCUGUCUUCAGUGAGGACAUAUUUUUAGCCCACAUGCAACCACUCUUGAUGUUGUUGACUAAGUUGUUGACGCAGAGUAAGCUGAUGAAUCAUUUGCCGACUGAAGUCUUGACGACGGAAUCAUGAGAUUUUGAAGGUCAAAAUAAGAACAUCCAACUCUCAAAAAAUAAAGCCGGUGUAGCGUGCGAGCCAUACUCGCUUGCAUACAUCGAGUAUUUGUUGACCGACAUAGAAAUGACUGGUACGUGCGACGUCGUUGUGGGAAAGAUACAAUGGGUCUGGGAUUAUGGGGUACUAACGAAAUGGUUGGAGCCCAUUUAUAAAGAAGAAUAUGUACAAAGAUGAAGAUGAACACGAUAAUAAUUUUUUAUUUCAAGCCAAUGCACUUUAUAUGUAGUGGCAAUAGUUUUUAUGUAUGACCAAGUUGAAUUUUUAUAAUGCAACAUAUUUUAUAUAUACUAUAACAGAUAUAAUACCUGUUGUGAUGGAUUGAUUAUCUGUUGGAAUAGGUUGAUCAUCUGUUGCAUUAUACAGAUGUUCCCCGUCUAUCUGUCGCAACAGAUAUCCAAUCUGUUGCAACAUAUAAUCUAUCUGUUGCAACCGAUAAAUAAUUUGUUGGAACAAAUCAACAAAGUAGGAAGACUUGUUAUAUAAUUUUCAGCAGAUGACCUAACUAAAUGGUUAGAGCCUGUGUAUAAAGAAGAAUAUGUACAAAGACGAACACGAUAAUAUUUUUUUAUUUCAAGCCACUUCACUUUACAUGUAGUUGCAAUAAUUUUUAUGUCUGGCCAAGUUGUAUUUUUAUAAUGCAACGGAUUUUAUCUAUGUUGUUACAAAAAUAACACCUGUUGUGACAGAUUGAUUAUUUAUUGAAAUAGGUUGAUCAUCUGUUGCAUUAUGCAGAUGAUCCCCGUCUGUCGCAACAAAUAUCUACUUUGUUGCAACAUAUAAUCUAUCUAUUGCAACUGAUAGGUAAUUUGUUGGAAAAAAUCAAGAAAGUAGGAAUUUCUAUUAUAUAAUUUCUAGCAGAUGACCUACGUGUUGCAUCUUAUGUUGCAACAUAUGUCUAAAUCUAUUUGAUAAGAUAUGUCGUCUGUUGCAGCAGAUGUAUUAUCUGUUGCGAUAUUUGAAUCUAGUAUUCUAUUUUAAUUAACAUGUUCAAAACUCAGGAUUAAAUUAUAUUCAUAAACAACAUAAAAUAAGUUGAAGCCUUUGAAAAUUACAUGACAUAACUCAACAAUUAAAUGAAAAGUAAAAAAAUUAUUAUGGGUACAAAUGAUCUACUCUACAAAUAAAUCAACAAGUUAAAUCAAAGAGGAUGGAUUAUUACAUUGACGGACUCAAGCUAUAAAUAUCCACUCAAUAUGGACAAGUUGUUCUUUAUCCGGUGCUGUGAAAUUUGGCUUUGAUCCUCGUGGAUCUUUAAUGUCUCUUGCGUACGGCUUCUAAUCUUUCGCUUCUCCAUAUUUCCAUAAAAGAGCAACAUAUCUUUUACGGAGUAAUCUGGUAUCAAGUCCAUCAUUUGGUACUUGUAAUCCAUCGCUCAAAUACUCGGCGUACGCGAUAACAAAAAGACCGCAAUCCCUGCGUUUUAAAAAAAUAGAUAAUUCAUAUCUUGCCGUUCAUGCAAGCAUUGUGAAAUUUGUGAAAUAAAACUAAAUCCUGACACUUAAACUUACUUACAGGCUACCAAUAGUUUGUUGAGCAAUUCCUUCAACAUAUUGUACAUCAAAUGAAUUACCCAUUUUAUCCCGGUAUGCUUCUAUCGUCGACCAAUCAGUACGAACCUUUUGAUCCAAAAAGCCACUCAUAUCAAGGUAAGUAGGCAAUAUUUUGGCCAGCUUUUGUAUCUCAAACGACCUCUCAGAAUGUAUCCUUCGUGACAUCGAGUCAUAAUCUCGAAUGCGCCUCUCUUUUAGAAUGACGACAGCUAAUAGCCAAUGGAAUUCAUCACCAUAAUUGAUUGGGAUGUACGCUUCAUCGACCAAAUGCCAAGGUAAGCCAGUCGGAAUGGUAAACCUUUGAUGAUGUUGAUUAAGCAUUUCUUAUUUUUUUAAACUUCCGGUUGUUGUUGACAAUUCCUAUCGUAGGCAUUAUUGAUGUAAACUUUGUACAAAUAAUUGCCUGUCGUGUAUCUGUAUUAUUCUUGUAUUUGUAACUUGGCCUUCUUUCGGAGGUGGUAAAAAAUGACAUUGAUGUACUGCGCAUAUUAUCAAAUAUUUCGGAUUACGUGACAAAAAAGUUAAUACACAGAUGCAAUUAAAUAAAGUAUUAAUUAAUAGUAAUAUGUUUGGUAUUUAAACUUCAUCAUUCCAGCAAGUUUGGGGCUGUAACAUCAAAUAGAAUCAAUUCUUCAUUCCGGGAUGUGCAAAAACAAAGUCGAAGAUAUCAAAACCAAGACUCGAUUCAUUCAUUUUGUAGCGUUUGUUAUUUUGUUUUCUACAUGAUGAUUUAUAUGUGUUAAUGUGACGUUCUUACAACAAGAAUCGUAUAAACCAAUAUCUUUAAAAAUUGAUUUAUGUACCUUCCGACAUGAUGCUUUAACAGUCCAUCGGUAAUCCAUUCUGAAUAGUCGUUGAUCAACUAUGUUAGUUUUUUUGGAGCCUCGUUCGAGAUGUUGAACCCUUCAAAUGGGUAAUUCUUCUAUUCUUCCGAAUUGACAGGCUCCAUUUUUUCUUCUUCUUUGGAAGUAGUUGAUGGAUUAUCAACUGUGAUAUUAUACUCUUCAGCAGUGACUUCUACUUUGAUAUUCACCUGGAAAGCUAGAAAUUGUCAAUGCUAAUCACAGGUAUACAACAGAUUGUCCAUCUGUUGCAACAAAUGAUCCUUAUGUUGCAAUAGAUGGAUCUUCUGUUGGCACGAAUUCGAACAGGUAAAUUAGAGCAGUACGAUAAUUUUGAAUAGAUGACCCAUCUGUUACAACAUAAGACUCAUCUUUUACAACAAAUAACGAAUUUGAUGCAACAGGUUAGACAACAGUUGCAACAGAUGUAUAUAUCUGUUUGAUAAUUUUCAGUAGAUGUAUCAGCUGUUGAAAUAGAUAUGUGCCUAUUUGUUUGUUGGAACAGAUAAUGUACAUUCACCUUCUUUGGCUAAUGCUGCUCUCCUGUGGCCCUUGCACAUUGAACAACGGUGCAAGACAAAGACAGAGGCAUUGCAAUUUUACUUUUUUUGAUGCUUGAUGAUGCCUUGGAAGUAACUUUCCUUCUCCUCUUAGCCACCUUGGUCUCUAGUGGAGUGUAUGGAUAUGAAAUCCUCGUUGAUGGAAUGACACUCCUUUUAGAUGCUAUUUUCUUUACAGAAGCAGUUAGUGCAUUAAUAACAUUAAUCACUCCACGUAUUUUGCCUUGCAGUCUUGAUAUUUACAUGCAAAAAAUUCGCUAGAUGUGGAAAAAUCUGUACAACCAGUAUGAUCAUAAUCAUAAUGGCUUUUUAUUUCAAAAAUUGUAAAAGGAACAUCAUUAGCCCCAACAGCAGCACCACUACCACUACCAUCAUCAAUAGCAACAAGCCCACCCUUCAAAAUUUUUUUUCUUCUGAUGGUUGUUGCUCCAAACAAUUUUAUUUUUUUCAUCAACGAACUUAAGGUCCGAUAAAGUUUGCACAGACCGUAAAGUAAGAAAAAAUGGCAUCUUCAACUCUCGGUUGGUCGGAACAAGCCACAGAUGGAUAAUCUAAAAUAAUAAGUACAUAUAUUAGAAUGAUGAUGAAAUCAUUUAAAAUAAUCAUUAAUUAAAACAAAAACUUGAUUAGAAUUGAACUUACUGCUUCCUUCGAGGGGUUGAAAAGAUCAAGAAAUUUUACAUUUUUAUCUGUUUUCGCCGACAACCAUCUCAGGAUUCUAGGAGAUGAAACUUCUUUCUAGUAGUUCCCUUGUUGUCUUAAAUAAUGAAUGGCUUCAAAUGCCCAAGCCUAUAACAUAAUGCCAAUAAAUCAAAAGCAUUAUUGAAUUAAAAAAUGCUGAAUCAUAUCAUGAUAAAAGAAAUAUUUAUCAUGAAGGCCCAUGGAAAGCCAUAUAAGUUGACUGUCUUUGGCGUUAACAGAGUCAACAAAUAUUAGACAGUCAUUUUGAAGCUUUCUUAACUCCUAAGAUAGAUGUUAAAUGCCUUAAGAUCCUCGGAGAGAUUUAUUAAACCGGGGCUUAUGUUGUUGUUAAUGUCUCUAGCCCAAAGAAUAUUAUGUACAAAUCAAACCAAGCACAAUGAUUGCUUGUUCUUCUUUGAGAGUCCUUUACCUUUCAACGUUUCUAUCAAAUUUUUGUUUUUGAAGCUUGGACCAACAAUGGACACCAGGUCCUCACAAUCACUCGACUUGCCUUUACCUUUUUUGGGUAUGCGUGGUAUUUUUUUUUGGGUCAGAGUAGGUAUAACUUGAAAAAGAGAAGAAGGAUAACAUUUUAGUCCCGUAACUGUGGCAAACUCCUUCCAACCAAAACAAACAGGCAUGCCAUAGUAAUUUAUCCACACCUCAUCCAUCUUGUCUUUAUUUUCAUACAUAAACCUAUGCUUGAGAAGAUCAUAUACCAUUUUUAUCUGGAAACGAGCAUUGUUGUCCUCCUGCAAAUCAAGAUAUUGCCCAAAGCAGCUUUCCCUGAAAUAAGCAUCCAAUUUUUGUUCUUGAAGUAUUUUUCUGAAGGUGUCGAAAGAUUUUUCCAUGCCUGACUUAACCAUAAAAUCACCCGUUAAAUCUGUGGCACCAUCGCAUUGCAUUCUCACAGGAUAACAAUCAAUGCUGAAUGUUUUGACCAACUCUUCGACGGAAGGGCUAUUAACAUUUGGAUCAUCUCUUUUGAGACAUUCCUCCUCCCCGUGUUCAUUAUCUUCUGCUCUUGAUUGUGAUAACGCUUGUAAAGUAAUCUUAUAGAGUGGUGGAUGUAGCCGAGUUGCUGCACUUUUUUCUUUACUUGGACUUGAUUCAGUUUCUUUCUUUUGGGAGCCAUAUUAUCUUAAAUUAAUAGGAAUAUAAAAUAGAUUAUAAUUGAUUAAUGCAUCAUUAAAAAAGGAUAACAGUAAAUCUAACAUGGACAACGGUAAAAUAACAGUUCCAACAGACCACACAUCUGUUGCACCAGGUACGUUAUCUGUUUCAACAUAUAACCAACCUAUUGCAACGGAUGAGUAAAUUGUUGGAAAUAAUAAAAACAGAUCACUAAUAUGUUGCACCAGAUAUUUUAUCUGAUGCAACAUAUAAUCAACCCGUUGCAACAGAUGAGUAAACCGUUGGAAACCAUAAAAAUAGAUCACUAAUCUGUUGCACCAGGUAGUUUAUCUGUUGCAAUAUAUAACCAACCUAUUGCAAGGAUGAGUAAUCCAUUGGAAAUAGUAAAAGCAUGUCACUAAUUUGUUGCACCAGGUGGUUUAUCUGUUGCAAUAUAUAACCAACCUGUUGUAAGGAUGAGUAAUUUAUUGGAAACCAUAAAAACAGAUCACUAAUCUAUUGCAUCAGUUAUAUUAUCUGUUGCAACAUAUAACCAACCUAUUGCAACGGAUGAGUAAUCUGUUGGAAACCAUAAAACAAAUCACUAAUUUGUUACACCAGGUAGUUUAUUUGUUGCAACAUAUAACUAACCUAUUGCAACAGAUGAGUAAUCCAUUGGAAACCAUAUAAAUAGAUCACUAAUUUGUUGCAACAAGUAUGUUAUCUGUUGCAACAUAUAACUGACCUGUUGCACCGAAUGAGUAAUCCGUUGGAAACCAUAAAAAUAAAUCACUAAUCUAUUGCACUAGGUAUGUUAUCUGUUGCAAUAUAUAACUGACCUGUUGCAACGGAUGAGUAAACGUUGGACAUACUAAAAACAGAUCACUGAACUUUUGAAACAUAUCACUCAUCUAUUGCAAAAUGAGUUAUCUGUUGGAUCAAUAUUGUUUAGUUUUCUUCCAAACAGAAGAUCGUCUUUCACAACAAAUGAAUGAUCUGUUUGAUUGUUCAUCUGUUGCAUCAGAUUUUAAUCUGUUGCUUCAGAUGUUUUCAUCUGUUGCAUUAGAUGUCUUCAUCUGUCAUAUCAGAUAUUUCAUCUGUUGCAUCAGAUGUUUUAUCUGUUGCAACAUCAUUUUUACCAAGACAAACAACAAAUCAGCUCAACAACACCAACAUAUCACACACAUACAUACUCACUAAGGACAUCAACUAUGAACAAAAAUCACCAACAAAUCUAAAUCAACAGUACGACAACAAAAACAAGAAAUGUCAAAAAUUAGGAUUUUAUUUAGUCCAUAUUUCAAUACUAGAAGAGUAGUUGACUCAAGUUCUUCUGUUUCUUCAUAAUUUUUUACCUGUGAAAAAGGAAAUGGGACGACGAAGAACUUGAAAUUGUUGUCGCCGGAGAAGUCUUCAUGUUGAUUGACGGUUGAAAGUCGAAAGGGAACUCACCCGAUUAUUUUUUGCCGGAGGUUGAAGUUAUCGGGGAUUCAAGGGAUAAUUUUGCAGAAUUGGAAGAGAGUUGAGAGAAACUGUCGAGAGAUAGGAGAGAGACUGGUUGAUUUGGAUUGAAGAGGGGUGGGUUGAUUUGUAUUUUUGAAAAGAUUACAAAGUUUUAAAAAUAUUAAUCAAGUCCAUGAUUAACUUAAUCAAGUUUCCUAAUGAUGUUUGACCCUUUAAGUUGGUCAAUGUCACCAAUCCUUCAUUCAAUACUUAAAAAACACCUUUCCUUUAAUUUUCUCUAGAAAGAUUGUUUAACUUUAUUCCUAGAAAUCCUCCAUCGAAGUUUUCACUUAAAACUGUCUAAGCCACGCUCUUUGAGGUGACCGUUUCAUUGAUCAUGGUGAACGUAGAAUGCUUUAUGUAUCGAGCUAUCUUUUAACUGUUUUUAAAUUUUAGUUAUAAUUAACGCAUUAGUUUCUUUAGCAUUUUCUUGUUUUCUAACCUAACCACUCAAAUUUAACAUAAAAUAGAUUUCAAACAAGAUAGCUGUGAAUUGUAAUGGUCAAUAUCUUAUACUCCCAUAUAUAGGUAUUAUGUUAAUUAGGUACUGAAAAUUGAAAAGUCCAUUAUGACUACACAUAGAUGUUGAAAUUUGUGUACAUGGUUUUUCAAGGGUCGUUAUUUCUAAAAAUUCGUCACGCGUAAAUAUAAAUUUUAUAUUAUACAUAUAUAUUCUUGAAUAUUUAGUUCAUGACGAAAUAAAAAAGAAAAAAGGAAAAGAAGGUGGAAACUUCUAUGAACAAAAUUUCUGCACUUGAAAAUGAUAUUUUGGAUGUUAUUUGAUUUUUUAAGCAGUUUAAUAGGAUAUGUGGCUUGUCUAAUGAUGGCAAUAAGAAAGUGAUUUAAAGCUUUAAGAAAAUUAAAUAUAUCAAUAAUCCCUUUUAGUAUAAGUAAAUUUUAGUUAGAAAUUUAAUUAUAGUUUAUUUUAUUUCCACAUUUAAAUAUAUUAUAACAUGUUUCUAUUUGAUAUUUUCGAUCAAUUUCGAAAAAGAUUUUGCGUUUAUUUUCAAACGAUCACUGUGUAGAUAAGUUAAAAUAUGUCACUUUCUUAUUUAUAUACAUUAGCAUCAACAAGUUGUAAAUCUCAAACAUGUUCCAGUUGAGGUUAGUGUAUAAUUAGAUGUAUCAUAUUUUAUGUGAUUAACUAUAUCAAUGCUAUAUGAUAUUGAGAAAUACAACCAAAAGAAUUUCUAAGUUUAUAUCAAAAGUUUUUAAUAGGAUAACUUUAUCAUAUAUUUAGGUGUUCAAUCUAAACAAGCAUAUUUUGAAUGUCUGAAUGAAAUUCAUUGACAAGUUGAAGAAGUAGUCGAUGUAAAACUAAAUGAAAAUCAUUUUCUUCUUUUUAAUAUACAAUAUAGAAGCCGGAUCCGGUACCCUUUUUUGGAUGAAUUUAUAUCAAUACAUAGUGUAUCUGGUGGAAUUUUAUCAGUGAUAAAAUAAAAAUCUUCACAAUAAAAUAAGUACAAGCAAGAAGGCUAUAUCUUACCUUAAUAAUUUCUAAUAGAUAAUAAACCUCUACUAAUUAAAAAAGCAUGAAGAAACCCAUUAGCUCAAAAUUGUGUUUAGUAUUUAUUAAUAUGAAUAUGAAUAGAAAUAGUAAAAUUUGAGUAGUUAAUUGAAGUUGAGGUCAACAUCAUUAGCUCAUCUAGAAAAUCUUCCUUCAUUCUGACUUUAUUCAUUAUCUUAAACAUUCUUUCUUAAGAUGAUAAGACAUUUUAUUAUUUUAUAUUAUAUCAGAUAUUUCAAGCUUGCAUGUUUUUCGAGAUUAUUUUAUCCUGUGUUUGAUUGUACGUAUAUUAGCUAGUCACGAAAUUAUUUAUCUCAUCAUUUACACCAUAGUAUGGAAUAAGUAAUCCCAUAUACAUGAUGGGAUAAAUGGAUAACUAAUUUCGAAAAUAAUUAUCCCGAUUAGUGGUGGAGCCACCUUAUGAUUAGGGGGUUCAUUUGAACCCCUUCGACGGAAAAUUAUACUAUUUUUAUAUAGUGAAAAUUUCGUUAUAUGUAGAAAUAAUGGAUGUUGAACCCCUUUCAGCUAGUUCGUGUGCCUAUGUUUUACGAUUUUGAAACCCCUUGAUGAAAAUUUUGUCUACGCUACUGAUCCUGAGAUAACUCUUUCCUAACCAAAUGACUACGUUACGCUAAUGUUAUUAUUGUUUGUUCAAUGCCCAAAUGAUGGUGACCGAUGAAUGUGACUAGUCAAUAACCAUUUGCCAAAUUAUGUAUCGUGAUCGUGAUACACUUGUUGCCAAAUCUUGGUAUAUUUUUUAUGUGGCUAACUUAUUUACAAUAAUAAACAUUUAACAACACACAAAAGUAUUCCCAAGUUCAAAUCAGAAAUCUCUGAUAGGAAAACCAACUUUAUCAUGUGUUCAUAUGUUUAACUGGAAAAAAACAACCAGAUUUUCAGUGUUUUAGAUGAAAUUUACUAAAAAAAUUUAUAUCAACGUCAAUAUAUUAUGCGUUGCCAAGAAGCAACCGUGUCUUUUUAAAGAACAUAGAAACACGGCAUUUCCUACAAAUCAAUCCGCUUUUGCUUACCAAUUCAACAUUUUUAUUUUUUAACUUACUCAAACAAUAUACAUAGUAAACAAACACCUAUAUAUAUAUUCAUCUUCCAUUCAACAUAGAAUCAUAAAUCUCAUCUCUAUUUUCUUCACCCUAUAAUACACCAAAGGAACAAAGAGGAAAAAAAAAAAAAAGUUGUACUUGAUUUUGACUUUCUUUCUUUUUGUUAUAAGGUAUGCCUGAAUCGAACUUGAACGGAGCCUAUUAUGGCCCGUCCAUCCCGCCCCCGUCCAAAUCUUAUCAUCGUCACGGACGGGGAAGCAGCUGCAACCCAUGCAGCUGCCUCUUUGGUUGCCUAUGCAAUUGCAUCUUCCAAAUAAUCUUCACUAUUCUCAUCGUCCUUGGAGUCAUUGCGUUAGUCCUAUGGCUUGUCCUACGUCCUAACAAGGUCAAAUUCUACGUGACUGAUGCUACGUUGACACAAUUCGAUUUUUCCACUGCCAACAACACCCUUUACUAUGAUCUUGCCCUCAAUAUGACUAUAAGGAACCCUAAUAAAAGAAUCGGGAUUUACUACGAUUCGAUUGAAGCUAGAGGUAUGUAUAAAGGUGAGAGAUUUGCUAGUCAAAAUUUGGAACCGUUUUAUCAAGGUCACAAGAAUACUAGCAGUUUGCAUCCAGUGCUUAAAGGACAAAGUUUGGUUCUAUUGGGAGACAGAGAGAAAUCAAAUUACAAUAAUGAGAAGAAUUCUGGUGUGUAUGAUAUUGAAAUGAAGCUUUAUAUGCGUAUAAGGCUAAAGAUUGGUUGGAUUAAAACGCACAAAAUUAAGCCCAAAAUUGAAUGUGACAUCAAGGUUCCUUUGGAGUCUAAUGGAAGAUCUGCUAAUUUUGAGGAAACUAGAUGUCAUCUUGAUUGGUAGAUUUUUUUCUAGCAUCCUCACACUUAUGGAUUUUUUUUUUCUUUUUGGUGAUUUGUUGUAUUUCCUAUAUUCUUUGGGUAUUAUUAGGGGACUUUUAUCCUUGUUGUUUUUCCGAUGUUGAGUUUGUGAUCAUUGAUAUACAUGGUAUUAUUUUGUUAUUUUGGAUAUGGUUGUAAAUAAAAUAAAUAAGUUACUUUGCUUUUUGCUGAUUUUCUUUGUUCUGGAUACUUUGGUUUGUUUAAUGAGUUAGCUAGUUAGGUAAGCAGUUGAUUUUAAAGUGUAUGACGGCAGGUGGGCUAAGCAGAAUAGAAGAUACUAAAGUCGAAUGUUAAUUUUUAAGAAAAGGCAAAUUGACAUUUUCCUUUCACAUAGAGGACAUGAAAGUAAAGGUCAAGAACUAAACAAGGUUGACAUUAUAUAUAUAUAUAUAUAUAUAUUCACAUAGAGGACAUGAAAGUAAAGGUCAAGAACUAAAAAAAAAUUAUAUAUAUAUAUAUAUAUAUAUAUAUAUAUAUAUAUAUAUAUGGGGCUUUACUUUCAUGUCCUCUAUGUGAAUAUAUAUAUAUAUGGGGCUUUUUCAGUCUCCUUUCUCUUUUAAAUUUAUUUUCAGUCAAAUUGUGUCACAUAAAAUCGAACUCAAAGGAGCACACACCCUAAUGCCAAAGAUCUGUGGAAGUUUUAAAAGAUUUUUUUGGUUUGGUGUUAAUCGCUCUUAUCAUUUUUCUAUAUAAAUUCCAUUUUUGAAUUAAUCUCACUACCCGACCCUUUUAAGGAUCGCCUGGACUAGUUAAAGAAAUCCACAAAUUUCAUUAGGCAUUAUACAUAAUCAACCUCUUUAACUUGACCUCAAAUUAUAUAUAUGAUCUCCAACUUUGGGUGUGCAUAAAUAGACCCUUAAACUUGUAUAAAAUUGAACAAGUAGAUAUAUACGUCUUACGUGACAUAAUACACUUAGGAUGCCAUGUAAGACAAAAAUUGACCACGUAGAAUGCCACAUGGGAUAUAUGUAUCUAUUUGUUCAACUUUAUUCAAGUUUAAGAGCUUACUUGUGCACAACCAAAAUUGGAGGCCAUAGACAUAAUUUAAGUCAAAUUAAAGGGUGUGUUUAUGUAUUAUGACAUUUCAUUAUUCAAUAUAUAGCCAUACAAAUGAUGUGACUAGCCAAUAACCAUUUGCCAGAAUAUGUGUAGUGAUUUUGACAUACUUAUGUCAAAUCUAGUAGAUUUUUUAAGUGGUCAAAACUUAUUUAUGUAAAGAAUGCUAAAAUUAGGAGUGUGCAAAAAUUGAACGACCGAUAAAUUAAAUUGAUAAAAAUUUUUUUUUUUUAAUUGUUAUUGGUUUAUUGAGUUAACGAUUUUUUAAUGAUUUUAUAAAAAGAUUAUUAGGUUAUUGGUUCGGUUUGAUUUUUUCUUAUUGGGUAAACCAAUAAUNNNNNNNNNNNNNNNNNNNNNNNNNACAUUAAUAUACAAAAAUGUAUGCAAAAGAAAAUUAUAUAAUAUUACAAUUAAAAGUUACAGUAUACGUAAUAUUAAAUUGAUUUAAAUAGAAAAAGAAGUGUAUUCUUUUAAUAUUAAUAUAUAUGUGUUGCGUUGUAUGUUAUGUCGUGAAUUAAUUAGCACAAAAAAGUAAAUAGAUUAUUAAAAAAUAACAAUUAAAGCAAAAAAAAAAGAAAGAUAAAUGCAAUAUUUUCUUAAUUGAUGAAACUGAGAAUUAUUAGGUUAAUAUAAUAGAUGAAUUAGAUAUAUAUUAUUUCUGAAAAGGGUAAAUCAUUAUCAUUUAAUUGUUUAUCUAAUAUUUAGAAACAAUUAUGCAAAUAUAGCAGUGCCCUUCCAACAGCCAAUCCAGAGCUUUAGUUACUGCAUUUUAUUCUAGCUUAUGCUUUGUCUUGUUGCAAAACAUUCUUUAAUUCAGUUGCUCAAAAAUUGUUGUUGUUGAAUUGCCUUUCCUUGAAAAUUGUCAUUGGAUAUCCUACUCCAAUCAGUAGUAUUCAAACAUCUUUUUCUUUUAACAAAAUAUUUGGUGGUGCGACUGUAAUAUAUGAUUCAGAUAGAGGUAAAAUUGGACAACAAAUAUUUUCAAAUGAUUUUUCUAUAAAAAAAUAAAUGAUUCUAGGUGAAUUCAAUUAUAAGAAUUAUAAAACAUAUAGAAACCUUGAAGUCCAGUAAAUUGUUUGCAAGCUUCACAAUGCAAUCUAACCAUAGAUCAGCCACUUCUUUCCCAACUUUACACAAUUCGGCAUUCAAAAAGCUCUGAUGACAUUAUACAAAUUCAAACGUUGAAACAUAUGUUAUAGGAAAGGAGAGGGACAAGAUGACAUGGCUAAUAAUUCCAAAAGCCGAAGGUUUGUUUGGACACCCUAACAAAACAAACCAACUAAUUAAAAGUUUUAGAAACACGUAUGUUCCCCCCGAUUUGCACAAACCAGCAAAGAAGACAUAGUUCUUGUGAAGGAUUACAUACAUAUCAUUAUAACAGAACAUUAAAAGAAAAAUACCAACAAUGGGAAUCCAAGAAAUUGCAAAUGUGAUCUAUAUAAAGUUCUUUCGAUAAUUAUGGUGUCGGGUCAACUUUCGCGCACCUCGACAUUUAGGUCUUCAAGACUGCACUUUCAUGUGCAGAACUGAUGUAUUUUCACGAUCGAUGCAAGUAAAAAUAUCAAAUUCAGGACCCCUAACCGCUAUGCUCUGGUAUAUGUUUCUCCCAAAUUCUUCUCUAAAACAAAAAAAAAAAAAAUUAUAAUAACCCAACCUCAAAUCUAUAAAUAUAAUUUAUUUUUCCUUCUUUUUUUGUAAUUUUCAUUUACCUGUACCAAUAUAAAACUCUAAGAAAAGGAUUAAAAAAAAAUAUUUAACGAAACAAAACUAACCUACAUUUAACAAUUAUGUUACCUUCAAUAAAUUCAACAAAGUGGUAAAAUUUUGGACACCUUUUCCGCUUCUUAAGCUCCGCGUUUCUGUCCCUCAGUUCCUGAUUCCCUUCAGGCUGAAAUCUAGCAUGCCAUGGAAGCUUACACCGAAAGCCAAAAUUUCUCUUAUAAUUUGGAUACUGCGAAGACGUUGCGUUCGCUCCACACUCAUCAAAAAUAAAAGUCAAACAAUUUUGGUUCGGACAGUAACAUUGUGGUAACCCUAUAAUAAUAUAACACAAGUACUUGUAUCAAAUUAAUAAGAACAAAAAGGAUUAUGAUAAAGUCAUGAUAUCUUGAUAUAGACAGAGAGAUAGCUAUAACGCAAAAUCUCUACAAGAAGUAAUGAUUGUGAUGAAGAUGCUCUCUUUUCAAGCUGCUCUAAAUCAUCUUGGUAUCCUGCAACAACCACAACAACCUGAUUAUCAAAUUGAAGUUGAUCACAUAAUUCACUAUUCAUCGCAUAUAUUUUUAUUUUUCCACUCACUCGGCUUCCUCAUAAGACACCAUGCAUUUCAUCAGCCUAACCUUCACCGAUACAUAAAACUUGAUGUUUGAUACACCUGUCAUAAAUUCAUAAAUUAUGUGUAUAUACAUGCAAACUGAUAUAAGUACAACAUCUUAACAUCUAAAAGUAAUAAUAUAAAAAAACCCAUAAAAUUUAAUCUUUAAUUCACUUACCAUAAAUCCAAAAGGUUUAGAAAACGAUAAAAUAUUGACUUUUACUUACUUUUGUCUCCAACUUUCUUCGAAGGCACUAAAAUAAACAACACCAAAAUUAAAGAAGAAAGACAUUAAUAUUAAAAAGGCCCUUAGUAAACUAACUGGAAUAAAAAUAAUUAUAUACUAACCUCAAGAGGUUUUAAAGAUUGAGAAUCAAAGCUAAAUAGAUAUACACACCUUUGCACAUGAAUACGACUUACAUGAGGAGGAAAGCUUUGUUGAUGCAUCCAUUGUUAGGAUCGAUUAGCAGUUCACACACACUAAAUCUAUGGAGAGGAUAAAGAAAACUAGAGAGAGUUCUUUAGGAGAAAGAGAGAAUUAAUUUUGUAGUAACACCCGUGGGUAACCUCCACGGCGGACGGGCUAUUUAUAUUAAUGACUCAGUGUAUGCACAAUUACACAGAGAAAUGAGAAUAAAAGGUCUAACCUAAAAUUUGGGUCGAAAUAAAAGAUUGAACUGCAUGAACAUGAACAUUAAUAUAUAACAGUACGUCACAUAUUAAUCAGGCUCCACAACCUAACAAUUCUUCCACUUGGAGAUUGAUACUGUCAUCCAAGAAUUACAUGCUCAAAAAAAAUAAAAAAUAUUCCUCCAUCAUCAAUAUGUUCGCCACACCGCAACAUCUGUAGACACAACUACAGAAAACCAACUAAGGUUUUGCACAAUCUUAAUUUACCAACAUCAACAUAUUUUGUCAACAUGUCUACUAGAUUCUUUGCACCCUCUAUCUUUUCCAAACAUAUAUCACCUUCUUCCACUUCCCUGCGAGUGAAAUGGUACCGUCUUUUAAUGUGCUUCGUCUUCGAAUGAUAGAUCGGGUUCUUCACCAACUGUAUGGCACUCUGACUAUCUGUGUAAAGAAUCUUCUUAAGCUGCUUCUUGCCCAGCUCUUCCAAAUAAUCUUCCAGCCAUAUCAUCUCCUUUUCAGCUUCAACUAUUGCUACAUACUCAGCCUCAGUAGAUAAAAAAGCAACGCACUUCUGAAGCCUGGACAUCCAACUCACUGCUGUACCGCCUACGGUGUAAAUGCAUUCGGAAGUGCUCAUGCUUGAGUCCACAUCCCCCCCACUAAGAUCAACAUCAACAAAACCUUGCAGAAUCUCUUCACCAUUGCCAAAACAAAGUGAAGUACUGGAUGUACCUUUCAAAUAUCUUAGAAGCCACUUCACAACUUCCCAAUGCUCUUUCCCAAGGUUUACCAUGUACCUGCUAACAACUCCCACUGCAUAUGCUAUAUCAGGUCUAGUGCAGACCAUAGUAUACAUCAGACUCCCAACUGCAGAGGCAUAUAGAACAAGCGCUAUGUGCUCCCGCUUCUGAGCUGUCUUUGGUGACUGCUUCUUUGACAGUUUUAUGUGAUUUACCAAUGGAGUAGUCUUGGGUUUGGCAUCAUUAACUUUAAAUUUGGCCAGCACCUUCUCAAUGUACUGCUCUUGGGAUAGAUUCAAAGUGCCAGCAGAUUUAUCCCAAGAAUCCUCAUCCCAAAAAUCUGCUUCGCUGCACCUAAAUCUUUCAUCUCAAUCUCAGAAGACAGAAUUGCCUUCAAAGAGUUUAUCUCCUUCAUAUUGGAUCCUUCAAUAAACAUAUCAUCCACAUACAAGAGUAAAAAUACAUAAGAAUCAGUGUAUUUCUUGAAGUAGCAACAUUGAUCCUUUUCACUCUUGCGAAAACCACUCUUGCUCAUAAAGGAUUCAAAAUUUUUGUACCACUGUCUAGGUGCUUGCUUCAGCCCAUACAAGCUCCAGUUGAGCUUGCACACCAUGUGUUCCUUUCCUGGAACUACAAACCCCUCUGGCUGCUACAUAUAGAUUUCUUUAUCUAAAUCUCCAUGUAAAAUUGCAGUCUUUACAUCUAUUGGCUCAAGAUGCAAAUUCUCCGAUAUAAUAAUACUCAAUAAAAUUUGGAUAGUAGUUAAUUUCACAAUAGGAGAAAAUAUUUUAGCAUAAUUUAUACCUUUCCUUUGUGAAUAUCCUUUAACUACUAACCGAGCCUUGAACCUUCUUUUGCCGUCUGGUUCUUCUUUGAUUCUGAACACCCACUUGUUCAACAAGGUUCUCUUCCCUGCAGGUAACUCAGUCAACAUCCAUGUGUUAUUUUUAUCAAGUGAGAUCAUCUCAUCAUCCAUGGAUUGCUCCCACUUGAUUGAAUCCUCCAUCUGCAGGGCCUCAACAAGAGACUCUGGUUCUCCUUCAUCAGUCAGCAAUAGAUAAUGCAAUGAUGGUAAAUACCUCUCUGGUGCUCUAAUGAUCCUAGAUGAUCUCGUCUCAACCUGCUCAGGUGUUACUUAUUCCGUCUCUGGUUCCUCAACGACAGUCUCUAGAGCUUGUUGAGUAUCUGCUGUAACAUUUUUGGGUGUACUCUUCAGUAACUCAAGCUCAACUCCCACUUGCUUUGUAGUUUCUUGAACCUUUUGCUCUCUAUCCUUAUACAAGAUAUUUUCUUUAAAUGUCACAUCACAAUAUCUUAGGAUCUUCUUGUUCCUGUCAUCCCAAAACCUGUACCCAAACAUGUUGUCAUACCCCUUUUUUAACCAAAAGAUAAAGUGGUUAUUAAAGAGGUCCAACUCUCACCCCCCAACUUCAUUUUCGACCACAUGAUUUAACCAAUUUCGAUGAAGAAUCAACAAGUGGAUAUCAACAAACAUUCACGGUGAUCCAAAAUAUAUCAACAUCAACAAACAAGAAUCCACACAUAAUGAAUUUAACAAAUGAAAUAUCAAACAAUUAGAAACUAAUAGAGAGCGAGUGAAAAUUGGACCUUAAUAUCGCUUUCAUUCAAUCAAACGGAGGAGCUUCGCGAAUCCGAAACCUCAACUUAAAUCGACUUCGAACAAAACCCAAUACCAAAAAUUUGAAAAGCAGCUUCGAAGAAGAAACACGGACUAAACCUCGACAUGAGAAUCAAAAACCGAACCCAGAACGACGACUAAUGAACUCGAAGUUUGGUUUUGAUCUCGAAUCACUAAAAUAGACGAACCCAAGACUUCAAAAAUCUGGUAGAAACUAAAAAAAAUCCACAUGACUUGAAUUUCGGUGAUAUAACAGUGACCAAAACUAACAAAAGUAAGUCAGAUUCUGGCGAAACAGAAUAUUUGCUAAACGGGGGCGCUUGAAAACGUUUGAAAAUGGACUGUUCCGGCGAGAUUAUCGUCUCCCUAUUAGAUUUGCCUAGAAGUCAAGAGAGAAUGAUGAGGUUUCGGCGAAGUAGUCGCCGGAACAGCUAACAAACCCACCAGAACUCAUUUUUGAGUAACCCAGAAUCAACCCCGCUUACUUCUACAUUACAGAUCUCGACCUCGUAUCCCCCUCUCUCUCUCUCAUCUCUCCGUCAGCUCUCCAUAUCUCUAUGUGGUGUGUGUGCGAUUGAUACGUGACUGGUGAGAUUGGUUCGUUGUUUGUCGAUUUUAUUUUAGUGGGAGCUUCAGUGAGGCUCGUCCAUGGCCGUGGGUAUGUGUAAAGGUGUAUGGAUUGAAAAUGGAAAACUGAUGGAGAAGGUUCGUGACAACGGAGACCUCCUUUUCAAUCUACUCCAUUUUUCUUUUAUUCUUUUUGAAUAUUCCGUGAGUGUAUGUGUGUUCAGUGGAGAGUGUGUGAAGAGAGAUUGUGUGGGCAUAUAUUUUGUGAAUUUUCUGGUGAGGAAGAUGCUGACCCCUUUUUCUAAUUUUUUGAUGCUAUUAUUAUGAGGAUGAUGACAAAAUGGGAACUUUUUUUGUUAGGUGUACCCUGUGGGUCCCCCUUCUUUUUUGUUGUUGAUGUAUUAUGUGAGGAUAAAAAUGUGAGCGGGUAGGGAGGUGGAAGUUUUUGAUUGGGUAGGUUGUUAGGAUAAGAUAAAUUAGUUAGAGGUAUUGUUUUUGUUUAUUUUUGUAUUUUUGUGGGAUAUAAAUACAUGGGGUGGGCCACAUGGUAAGGUGAACAAAAAUGAAUAAAAUUAGACUUCGAGAGGGACAAAAUUAGGUGUCUACAUCAUGCCCCCUUUGAAUGUAAACACGAAGUGUUUUUAGAGAAAGAAGUAGACAAUGAGACCAAAUUUUGACCCGACCAUUAUUCAAAGAAAGAAACAGAAGGAAAAAAGAUAAUCGAAUCCUGUCGGACACCCUAUCUACCUAAGUCAUGAGGAAGUCACAAGUAUCUCAAAGGGUUGAAAGAGAAGUAGACUAUACCGAUUUGGAGAGUCGAGUGAGGUUCCAUUGAGGUUCCGGUCCACGGCUCUGUCAUUACAUAAAAAUGAAAAUUACAAGUUAAAGCAUAAAUGAAAUUACAAAAAUCCUAUCUAUACAAUUUCUUUUGGUUUCUUGACUUGAGUUUCAUCACCCUAUUCUUCAGGCGGGCUCUUGACUUGCAAUUUUUUCAACUUGUUGCUUGCCUUUCACUUUCCACACCCUGUUCUCUAAGCGGGUUUCUGACUUGCUAUUUCAUCAACUUGUUCCUAUGCUUUUCAAUUUCUACACUAUGUUCUCCAGGCGGGUUCCUGACUUGCUAUUUUAUCAACUAGUUGCUAUACUUUCAAUUUCUUUACCCUAUUUUGCAGGCGGGCUCCUGACUUGCUAUUUCAUCAACUUGUUGCUAUGCUUUCAAUUUCUUCACCUUGUUCUGCAGGCGGGCUCCUGACUUGCUAUUUCAUCAACUUAUUUCUAUGCUUUCAAUUUUUUUUCCACCCUGUUCUAUAGGCGGACUCCUGACUUGCUAUUUUUCAAUAUAUUUAACUUUUAAUUUCUUCACCUUGUUGCUUGGUUUUCCAUUUAUUCGCCUUGUGCUUCGGGCAUGCUCCUGAAAUCACAUCAAAACUGAAAAAAAAAUUUAUCCAAAACAAAGAAAUACAUUUUUUAUGAGUUAAUUGGAAUGACUCGACUAAAAGGUACGUCUUAUAGGAAUCAAAGGGAAUGACUCAACUAAAAGGUACGUCUUAUAGGAAUUAAAGGGGAUGAAUCAACUAAAAGGUACGUAUUAUAGGAAUCAAUAGGAAAGACUCGACUAAAAAGGUACGUCUUAUAGGGGUCAAGGGAAAUGACUCGACUAAAAGGUACGUCUUAUAAGAAACAAAGGAAUGACUCGACUAAAAGGCACGUCUUAUAGGAAUCAAAGGGGAUGACUCGACUAAAAGGUAUGUCUUAUAGGAAUCAAAGGGGAUGCCUCAACAAAAAGGUACGUCUUGUAGGAAUCAAUAGGAAUGACUCGACUAAACGGUACGUCUUAUAGGAAUCAAAGGGGAUGACUCGACUAAAAGGUACGUCUUAUAAGAAUCAAAGGGGAUGAUUCGACUAAAAGGUACGUCUUAUAGGAAUCAAAAGGGAUUACUCGACUAAAAGGUACGUCUUAUAGGAAUCAAAGGGGAUGACUCGACUAAAAGGUACGUCUUAACUUUAAAAAAGAUUUGAUUUUAAGUUUUGAAAGGUUUUUUAUUAUUAAGUGACAAAAUGAAGGUUUGUUUCGAAAAAGAAUGAUUUUUACAUUCAAAUUCAGAGUCGCCACUUGGCAUAAUCCGGUGUGUCAAGUCACCUUCGGAAAAUCCUUUUCAAAACGGUUUUGACUCUUUUAUACUGGUUUGCCUACAGAGAUUCCGGCUAAGGAAUUCUGUUGAUCGAGAGGAAGGUGUUAGGCACCCCUCGAUCCCGUGGUUUGACCACGGUCGCUUGCCAAAGCAUAUCAGCUAAAUUGUCAUUACAAAUGCAUAAACCAUACAAAGCACGCAAAAACAAUCACUCAAGCAAAUAAAACAAAAUAAUCCAAAAUAUAAUGUCCAGUCCAAUUAUACAGUCCCCAAAAAAUGAAAAAUGCGAAAAUGUAAACCUGUUCUAUUCAAAACAAAUCCUAAACUACUCCUAUGAUUUACCCGACGCCCCGAGCCUUCCUCACGAAAGUCUUCAGCAACAUAAUACGUCGGGGCAUUCCCCGGUGAAUAAACACAAAUCCCUUAGGGAAUUCCCCGACCAAAUAAUACAUUUGAAUUAAAUAAGCUGACUAACUAAACAAAACGUUCAAAACACACAUUUAAACAUUCGAUCAAACAUAUCACAUCCUAGAUUUCUGCCUACCCGAACCUACAUUGCAUAUCCAUUUCGACCUAAGCAUACUACUAUUGUGUUCAACAUUAUAAAUCAAAAUUAAUCCGAAUUCAACGAUAUCAAUAUCCAUUUCAAGUCCAACCAACAAUUCACAUUACUUCAUUAGUUCGUAAUUCCGAUCCCCCACAUUCAUACAUGACGGUUAUUAAACACGAGCACAAUUAUCCAUCCAUAUCAUCAUCGAUUUUAUACUAACGACUACUUAUUCAGAUAAGACAACACCAAUCACAAAAAUAUCCAAUCAACAAACAAUGUACUAUCAUAACAUCCACCUACUAAAUACCAUAACAAGAAAAUCAAAAGGGCAAGGACUAAAAAUGAACCUUCGAAGAAACGACUUCGUGAUAAUAUGUGUUAAAGAAAUCCGCACUCGAAACCUCGAAUAGAAACCUCAACAGAAAAAAUAAUCCAACGCAGUAUUACAGAACUGAGACCCGAAAUUGACCAAAAUAAAUCAACGGAGUCUUGACAGUAUCCUAAUUUCGAACCAAGAUGGAAAAUUAUGGACCAGAACCAAAAUCACUUCCGAAUAAACCAAAAUUGUAUGCAAAAUUGUCGCAGAAUCGAACCGAUACAGGAAUGAACAAUCGAUAUUGGUUCGAUCAGCGACGGGAACUCGAAUAAUGAUAAGAGUUCCGGCCAAUCUAUGGUAUUUUCCAUUUUUCCAGUAACCCCGUCAAAGAACACUCACUCAGAAAAAGCAAAGAGCCUUUGGGUAUUUCAAACCUUUGAUGCCCAAAAAUCCAACUAGAAUGACAGUUCUGGCGAUGGGUUCAUCGGAAAUCUGAAACCCUCCGAUCUGUCUCUCUCGAUCCCUUUUCUCUCUCUCUCUUCGUAACUCUCUCUCUUUACCUUCUCUUUCAAGCCAAAUUUUAUUUCUUUUCCUUUUUCGAUCACAACCCCUCUCAAUUUCUCUAUAUCUCUCUCGUUCUCCUAUCAGCUCUCGAUUGUUCACCAUCUCUCUCUGAUCUCUAUUUUUCUCAAAGGUGUGUAUGUCGAAGCUGGGAGGUGUAUAUGUUUGUAAUGUUUUCGGUCAGGAAUGAUGAGGCGGGUGUAUAUCAUCUAAUGGAGCUUCCCCAUGAGGUGUUUAUUCUGUAAUGCUUAUAUAUAAGUGAUGUGUGUUAUUGUGUAAAAGAGAAAUAUGGAGAUCAUGAUAUGGGUUUGUGCGUGUAUAUCCAAACUAUGGAGAAGAAGAUGGUGACAAAAUGGGUCCUUUUUGUUAGGUGAACCCGUGGUCCCCCUUCUUUUAGUUUAUUAUUGUGAGGAUAAAAAUGUGAGUGGGUAGGUAGGUGGAAGCUUUUGAUUGGGGAGGUUGUUAGGAUUGGAUAAAUUAGUUAGAGGUAUUGUUUUUGUUUAUUUUCAUAUUUUUGUGGGAUAUAAUUACAUGGGGUUAGACACAUGAUAAGGUGAACUAAAAUAAAUAAAAUUAGACUUCGGGUGGGGGGGGACAAAAUUAGGUAUAAACACGAAGUGUUUUCAGACAAAGAAGUAUACAACGAGACCAAAUUUUGACCCGACCAUUAUUCAAAGAAAGAAAUAGAAGGAAGAAGGACAACCGGGUCUUGACUUAAGACAUCCUACCUACCCAAGUUAUGAGAGAAUCAAGUCACGGGUAUUUCAAAGGAUUGAAAGAGAUAGACUUACCGAGUUGGAGAGUCGAGUGAGGUUCCAUCGAGGUUCCGGUCCACGGCUCUGUCAUUACAUUAAAAAUAAAAAUUACAAGUUAAAGCAUAAAUGAAAUUACAAAAAUCCUAUCUAUACAACUUCUUUUGGACUCUUGACUUGAUUUUCAUCACCCUAUUCUCCAGGCGGGCUCCUGACUUGCUAUUUCUUUAACUUGUUGCUUACCUUUCAAUUUCUUCACCCUGUUCUUCAGGCGGGUUCCUGACUGGCUAUUUCAUCAACUUGUUGCCAUGCUUUCAACUUCUUCACCCUGUUCUGUAGGUGGGCUCCUGACUUGAUACUUUUUCAAUCUGUUUAAGUUUCAAUUUCUUCACCUUGUUACUUAGUUUUCCAUUUAUUCGCCCUGUGCUUCGGGCAUGCUACAGAAAUCUCAUGAAAACUAAAAAAAAAUUAUCCCAAACAAAGAAAUGCAUUUUCUAUGAGUUAAUUGGAAUGACUCGACUAAAAGAUACGACUUAUAGAAAUCAAAGGGAAUAACUCGACUAAAAUAUACGUCUUAUAGGAAUCAAUAGGAAUGACUCGACUAAAAGGUACGUCUUAUAAGAAUCAAAGGGGAUGACUCGACUAAAAGGUACGUCUUAUAGGAGUCAAAGGGAAUGACUCAACUAAAAGGUAAGUCUUAUAGGAAUCAAAAGGGAUGACUCGACUAAAAGGUACGUCUUAUAGGAAUCAAUAGGAAUGACUCAACUAAAAGGUGCGUCUUUUAGGAAUCAAAGGGGAUGACUCGACUAAAAGGUACGUCUUAUAGGAAUCAAAGGGGAUGACUCGACUAAAAGGUACGUCUUAUAGGAAUCAAUAGGAAUAACUCGACUAAAAGGUACGUCUUAUAGGAAUCAAAGGGGAUGACUCGACUAAAAGGUACGUCUUAUAGGAAUCAAUAGGAAAGACUCGACUAAAAGGAACGUCUUGUAGGAAUCAAAGGGGAUGACUCGACUAAAAGGUAUGUCUUAUAGGAAUCAAAGGGGAUGACUCAACUAAAAGGUACGUCUUAUAGGAAUCAAAGGGGAUGACUCGACUAAAAGGUACGUCUUAUAGAAAUCAAUAGAAAUGACUCAACUAAAAGGUACGUCUUAUAGAAAUCAAAGGGGAUGACUCGACUAAAAGGUACGUCUUAUAGGAAUCAAAGGGGAUGACUCGACUAAAAGGUACGUCUUCUAUGAGUCAAGGUGAAUGACUCGACUAAAAGGUACGUCUUCUAGGAAUCAAGACUUAAGUCAGGAGGUGCAUUACCUAAGAAGCAGAAUUCAAAUUACCCAAUCAAGGAAGUCUGUUUCCUUAUCAAUGUUGUUUGAAUUAUCAAAAAAAUGAAGUGCGUCUCCUUACCAAAGCUACUUGAAUUACCAAAACAAGGAAGUGCGUCUCCUAGAGAUCUUGAAUUACGAGUUUUACCAUGGUUUUGAUUACCAAAACUGUGUAAAAACCUUGCCUGUUGCAUUUGUUGAGGUGAGAAAUUAUGGCCUUUGAUGUUUAGGCUCUGAUAUCCUUGAUCUGAAUGGAACAUAUAUUCCUAUUACAUAUAAAGAAAACUUGUGAGUUUAAAAACAUGGUGGCUAGUUUAUGGCUUUGGCUUUUGAGGCAAUUGCUCCUGCCCCCGUCACAUUUAGCUUUGCUUCCAACCAUUAGCAUAUGUCAUUGACUUGCGGUAUCAUUGACUCAAACUCAGCUUAUUAAGAGUGACUCUGAAACAAACACAGUAUUUCUGCUUUGUCGUGUUUCUCAAAUAAACCCUUUGAACCUUGGUAUUUUCAUGAGUUCCCCGACUUCUCUGUUGACAAAACUUCCUGCAUGCCUUUCUUUGGGCUCAUAAUCAUGUCUCUUUCAUGUGCUAGCUUUUGUCUUGCUUUGUGCAAUUAAAGAAGCUGGUAGCCAGUUUUGAAAUCUUUUCUCACUUGUUUUUAUACGGACUUGACUCGAAGACAAGAAACAAAAAAAAUGACAAUUUUUGUUUUGAUAACUGACUUAAGAAAGAUAAAAUUAAAAUAAAGAGAAGAAAGAAAUGACAAUGAAUUUCCCCUUUUAAAACAAAGAAACAAAAAAUUCAUCUAAAAAUGACAGUCAACACUAAUGAUUAUGUCAUGCAUUUUGGAUUAAGCAGCUUGAUCUUUUCAUCCAAACUUUCUACCCAUUGUUGUUGAGUUAAUGACCUUGAAACUGAGUAGCUUUCUUAGGUUAAUUGCAUUUAAGACCCCAUUCGGCUAGUGGUUCCUUGAAGGGUUUUCGCCAACAAGCUUCUUUCAUUUUCUCUCGGCUCACUAUCGCCUUAUGGUACCGGUGAGGGUUUUCACCAAUAAGUCUCUCUCAUUUUUAUUUCUCUCAACUUUUCAUCGCCUUAUGGUGCCCGUAAGGGUUUUCACCAAUAAGACUCCUUCAUUUCUAUUUCCCUCUUGAUUCCCUAUGCUGAGGAAGACAAAUAGUUCCCAAAUGCAUCAUCAUAUCCCUUGCAUGCUCCACCUUAACAUCCUCAAAGAUUGAUCUGAAGGUCUUUUUUUGGUUGUAAGUUGGCUUUUGGAUAAGGUUAGAAAGAAAGGAUGGCAUGGGGCCCAAAUGACACUUGAAGUGGGGUAGGACUUACAACUUUUGGAAUAGACUCAAACAAUGAGGAUUAACUCAUGCCCCAGUUUCUUUUGACUGGGUUACUCUAAAUUAUUUAUUUGGUUGGACCGAGCCCUUAGUAGGGAAACCUAUGCAUCUCACCCCCGAGAGAGGAGAAUCAGGUCAUGCGUAGUCCUGGCAGCUUGUUUUUUUCACUUGAUUCUAAGUUUUUUCCCCUUUUGUUGACUCUUUUCUCUUUGGGACCUUUCUGACUUUAUUUUUCUCGAUGCUCUUCUUUUUCUCCUUUUGGACACAUUUUUCUCUUUUUUUUUAAAACUUUUCUGACUCUACUAUUUUGCUCGACACCUUUCCUUUUGAGCUUUGUUGACUCUAUAUGAUUCCAAAAGAAGGGUUGAAGGAAAAUAGAACUAAAGCUCAAAUGGGUAAACAAAGGAUGACACGAUGUUUGGAUAGUAGAAUGAGAGGCCUUCGUCAUAUCAAUCCUUAAAAAUGCAAGUACAUAUCAUGCAAUAUGAAAAUGAAAGAUGAAGAUCAUUUGUGGCACUUUAACAACAUAACUUCAAAUGAGCAUGUAUGUCACUUCUUUUUCUACACUUAUCAAACAUACAACUCCAUUUUUGUUGUACAUUCGUCAUGCUGAAGGACUCCUGACUUCGUAGAGCUGAUUUUCUUCGUGUUCCUUUUGACAUAGGAUCACACAUUCACUACUUGACCUAAUUGAGAUAUGUAUUUCAAUUGAUGACCAAUUUAUUCUCAAGAUUUUAAAAAUAAUAGCCUUAAUUUUCAAAGAAGGUUUCAACUUGAUCACCAAAUGUCCCAGCACUCUAUCUCUUUCCUCAGAUGCUCUCUUUUUCUAACUUUAACCCUCUGAUUUAAUGUUUAUUCUUAAACUGGAUGUUAAGAUCUAGCUAUAAAUUUCACUAGCAUAUCAUAUCACUAGAGUCAACAUAAAAUGUACUAUGUAAAACAAACAAACAAACAAACAACACAUUUAAAAUACAAAGAAAAAGGACACUUCAUUUAGUUAAAAUAAAAGAUAAAAGGGUUUGAACAUAAACGACAAAGGGACAAAACAAGAUAGAUUCCGAACUACAACCCUGAAAUAAUUCAAAAAAUAGAAAAGAAAACAAAACAAACUACCAGACCUCUUCCUAGUAGGGAGAGGGGUGACUUUUCAAUUGCUCAGCCUGACAUAUUAGCCACUGGUUUGCAUAUCAACAUGACUAGAGCUUCCACCAUUGUCAGACAUAUUUCCUUCAAAAAAUAAGCUCUGGAUCCCCAUUCUUAACUCAUUGCCUCCCAUAUAUUGUGCACUGGUGGAGAACUCUGUGGGAUGGUCGAAGGGCCAAUUGUUUGCACCACAAUCAAUUUAUCUUGAAUUAUCUUUUCUAUUUCUCUUUUCAAAUUGCGUCAAUCUUCAAUACUAUGACCCUGAACAUUAGAAUGAUAUGCACAUCGCACAUUAGGAUCAAAGCUUCUUGAAUGCGGGUCAGGAGUAUACCCAAGGAGAGGAGUGAUCAUGCCUUGCUGUACUAAUCUCUGGAAUAAACUGGCAUAGGAUUCCCCAAUGGGAGUGAAAUUAUCUUUUUUCUUUCUACUUUUUGCGAACUUUGGCCUCGGAUGAAAUUUGGAUUUAGAGGUCCCUUGGUAAAUUUAUGGGGGUCGAGGAUGAUAUUGAGGGACAGGUGCAUGCCAUUGUGGAUAAGAAGAUGGAUGAGCAUACAAUUGUGCAUUGUUCAAAGGAUAUCGAGGAAGUGGAAUGGGAUUUCUUGGAUUUCAGAGAAAGAAACCUUGUUGCAAUUGGUUAUGUGGAUUUGAUAUGUAAGAUCGAGAUUGAGGCUGACAGUAUUGGUGGGUUGGACCUCUCAAACUCUGCUUUGGCCCUGUCAUGACAAUAGCUGCGUUUUCCUUCUUCUUUCCUUCAGUUUCCUUUGGUUGAUUGCAAUGUCGUCCCGAAUGUUUCACAGAAUCCUUCUGUCCAUUAUGCUCCCCAAAUUUUGAUGUCUCAAAGCUGGGAGGAAGGUUAACACUUGAAAAUAUGCCCCAGUUUAUAUAUGAAACAUCUUCAUAGCCCAUAAGUCCAGGAGAAUUUUUCAUAUCAUUUUCUACACUCUUCACUUUCCCAACCAUUUUCUCUGGCUCUUUUGGCAUGCUAGGCUUCUUAGUAAGAAAUUUUGGCGGUUCACUUAAAUUAACUGUAGGCUCAAGAGUAUACCAAUGAUCAUCAACAGUAUUGAAUGUAGAGUAACUAGUGGACUGGGGAAGCACAAUCGUUGGAUUGAUAGGCAAAGUGGAAGACUUAGUAGAAGGUUGAGCAACGAAAGCACAGACGGUAUGUGGUGCUGUGAAUGUCAUAGACUUAUACUUAAAAGAUAAAGAAAGAGUGGUGGAAGUGUUGAGGUGUAUUUGACGUGGAAUGGAUUCUGAGGCAUGCUGUGGUGCAUAAACAAUAGUAGGAAACUAACUUUGCGAUUUUGGUGGAAGACUCAAGGUAUUUGAAGAGUCAAAAGUGGGGAACGGAGGUGGAGGUAGCCCACUGGCCCAAGCUCGGUACAUUCCCAUCAUUUGUUGUGUCAGUCUCAAAUUCUCUUGCUUUAAACUCUCAAUUUCCUGACUCUUUGUUUCAUCCAUGAUUCCACUCUCUAUAUCCUUGUUGGACACAACUAACCCUUCCUUGGAUUUGGUGUGAUAUGGAGGACCAGCCAGGAAACCACAAACCAACCACCUUAAACUAACUGAACAAGAGGCAACAAAUAUGUUAGAGUUCAAUAUUUUUCAAAACCUCUUUUUUUUUUCUUGAAGAAAAAUCACCGAACCCUAGAAGGGCACCUACGUAUCUCAUACCCGAAAGGGGAGAAUCAGGUGUGCGUAGUUCGUGAAGUCAUGCCAAAAUGGCCAAUUGAACUCUUUUUCUUUUUUUUUUCCUCGAAACUUUAAGAAGAAAAGAAAAUAACAAUUUGUCAAAAGAAUUGACGAAAAUAUUUUUGAAAUUUUCAGCUUUAACAUCCCUAUACAAAGUGAAAUCUAUGAUUACCAAAAAAUCUUUUUGGGUUUUCAGUUUUAAAUUUGAUGUGAAAAUGGAACUUGAACCUAUUAAAGAAAAAUCUUUUUGUAGUUUUCUUUUAAAGAUGUAUAUGAAACACCUACUCUAAAUGAAGAGUGAAGAAAAUCUUUUUGAAUUUUUGAAAUAAGAUCAACCAAAAAUAAAACCUACGAUUAUUAAGGAUUUUUUUUUUGUAUUUUUAUUUUCAAUACAUGUAUGAAACACCUACUCUAAAUGAAGAGUGAAAAAAAUCUUUUUUAAUUAAUUUUUUUUAAAUAAGAUCCUCGAAUCAACAAUAGGCUGCCUAUGUAUCUCACAUCCCGAAAGAGGAGAAUCAGGGGUGCGUAGUUCGUCCAGAUUGGACAAUUAAUUACUAAAUAACAAGCCAGACCCGGACUUAAGAGACACGACCAAAGACAAAUGAUGAACCAUGUUAAUAAAAUUUUUUGAGUUUUCAUUUUGAUACUUCACAGAAAAAUGACAUCAACAAUUAUGAAUGAAAAAUAUUUUUGGUAUUUUUGCUAUAUGAAAUGUAAAAAAAUUUCUAACAUCUUUUUUUUUUUUUGCAUUUUUCUUUUAUAAACACAUCCUCUGAAUGAAAAAAAAAUCUUUUUGAAGUUUUCGAAUUGUAAAUGCAUGCUUAACGAGACAAAGGAAAAUCUUUUUGAUGUUUUUGAAAAAAUGAGUGCGAAAGGUAAAAAAGUCCUUUUGAAUUUUGAAAUUAUGAAAAAUAAAAGCCAUAAAAAAACUCUAAAAACUACGAAACUCUUUUUGAUUAAUUCUUGUCGACUCACUUUUUCUAUUUUUUCUUCUUUUUUUUCUUUUUUUUUCUUUUUCGUUUUUUGCCUACGCACCUUACUCCUAAUAAAUAUUUUUUUUCCAAAUCAGUCCGUCUAAUGACCACGUUACCCUUAAAGAUGUAACAGUUAGCACGUAGGGAUGCUUUAGAGGUGAGUCUCCUACAAAGGGCCAUGUGGGUCCCGCUAGGUCUCAUUAUGAUGCACAUAAGCAUGACCUAAAGGCUGACCUACGUUGUGGUUCACUAACAAGGCUGUUCGGGGGAGCAUAUGGUCGAUAGUGCCUGCUUUGCUUUCCACCUACUCCAUAACACCGACGGCUCCCCCCUAAAAUAAGGGUGACUCAACUAGAGGUCAUGUACAACAUGUGUACUACGGACUUAUUGCAGAAAGAAGGCCUGGGGGUAGACACAUGAUGCCAGAUAUAAAAGCGGUAACAUAUAGGAUAAAUACUGUACACAAAGAGCACGAAAACGCACAACACUGAUAACAAUAACACAAACAAUAAUCAUAAACAAUGUUUAUACACCCAUAAUGCCAAACAAAGCCGAUACGAAUCCAAAAAUAAGACCGAAUUCUGAAAAGAUCCCCAGCAGAGUCGCCAGAGUUGUCAUACCCCUUUUUUAACCAAAAAAAAGA